rnacentral:lncRNA from 1 species
UUUUUUUUUUUUCUUUUUAAUAUUCAAAACAUUGCUCUACAUCAUACUUGCAUUAUGGAAAAUAAAAACUACUAAUAUUUUUUUUUUCAAAUCCACCCAAAUAACUAGGUGGAACCCAAGGAUUUCAAUCUCUCUAUUUAUAACUAAAACAGAUUUUCAAAUCCAUUCAAAUCCAAUAUGAAAUCAAAUCCAUACUCAAAUCUUCAAUAUUGAAUAAGGGGUGAUUUUAACUAGUAUUUGUAAAUCAUUGAACCAAUAACACAUGAUUUUUAUAAGAAUUUUAAAAUCAAUGAUUGAAUAACACAUAAUUUUACUUGGAUUUUCAAUUCCAUUCAAAUCAAUGAUCCAAUAAACCCCCCUAAAACUAUCAAAUCCUAAACCGAUCUGGUACAGCGAAGACCUAAACCUAAAGGAGGAUAUAAGAUAUAAAACCUAAAGGGUUUGGUUGGUUCCUUUCCCUCUCCCAAAAAAAACUCCGAUUAUGGCCGGAUCUCUAGGUCUUACGCCGGAGUCCUUGAAGGCUUCUGGCCGGAUCUCCGAGAAGCUCAGCCUUCCUAUCCUUCAGAGCCAAAUCAAGCGUGAACCAGAGGGUUACGAAACGGAGGUCCAUUUGAUUUACAAACAGUUCAGAGCCUCCGUCGAUCUCUUGCAGCAACAGGCGGCUCUCACUUUCUCCUCCGUCGGCCCCGGCCCUUCCGUUGCUAAGGAACUCGGCGACCGAGCCAUGUUUCUCGCUCAUGUCACUCCGUUUUAUCCGAACCAGCUCGCCGCUUUUCCAGCUCAAUUGACUGAUUUACUCCGUACCUCAUGCCUGGCAAUGCCGUCGGGGCUUCGGUAUCAAGUUGCGCAAUCUCUGAUUCUUCUUAUGUAUCGAAAGGUAUGUUUUUUUUUUUUGUUUUUUUAUUACGUGAUUGAUACGAAUUCUGAGAUGAUUGUAAUCGAAAGUAAUGUUUUUUUUAAUAUGUUUGCUUUGGUGUGUGUUAAAGAGUCUUGUCAUCGAGGAUUUGUUAGCUCUGUUUCUAGAUAUUCAGACUCUUGGUGAUAAAAACUUGCGAAAGCUUGCUUUCUCUCACAUUGUUCAAACCAUUCGUAAAAUGAGUAUCACUGAUCCAAGGCACAAAUCUCUUCAGAAGAUUGUUUUCUCUAUGUUGGAGGUAUUUCUUUUUUCUUUUCCCUUUUCAUGGGUUUUUUGUGUAACUGAUCAGUGUAUAAUCAAGUAGAUGAUUUUUAACUUCGGUUGUAGCAAGAAGAUGAAACCAAGGCUAAGAGAGCACUUGUUACCCUUUGUGAGCUUCACAAGAGAAAAGUCUGGUUUGGUGAUAAACAUGACAGAGUAGCAAUUGCCAUUUGUGAAGCCUGCUUUCAUACUUCACCUAGGUAUAUCUUCCUAACUGUGCAAUAUUUUGAUAUGAUUUGGUUGGUCGAAUUAACUUCUCUUUUUUUUUUUACAUGUUCAGGAUCAGGAUAUCUUCCCUUCGGUUUCUUCUUGACUACGACAACAUUAACGAUGAGGAUGAUAGUGAUGCUUCAAGCAGCGAUGACGAGGAUUCAAAGAAAGUAUCUCAGGUUGUGUUUAACAGAGAGGCUGUUUACAAGGUAAACAACAUAUUUAUACAUGAAUUUUGUUAGAGACUAUGACGAAAACGCUUACUACUGGUUGUGAAAAGAAUUUUCCACCUUCAAAUAGUUGUCACUAUCAUUUUUAUCAUUAUGAAUUAAGUAUAAUACUAGGUCCUGUUUCCGAUGUUUAGGCCAACAACAAAGGUACAUCUUCUAGCAAGAAGAAAAAGCAAGCAAAACUGCAACGCGCCAUGCGAAGUAUUAAACGAAAGCAGCGUGCGUCGUCUGAGAACACUACUUCAACUUAUUCACCUCUUAAUCAUCUAAAUGAUGCACAGGUUCAUUUCCUAGCUUUUUUGUAGUGUGUCAUUUCCUAGCUUUUUCUAUGUGGCUAUGUACUUGAAUGUUUUUCUUUUUUUACAGAACUUUGCAAAGAGGUUGCUUCGCCGUAUUAGGCCUAAGUUUGACAAGAGCAGUGGGAAAACUAAUGACAAGAGCAGUGGGGAAACUAAUGACAAGAGCAGUGGGGAAACUAAUGACAAGAGCAGUGGGGAAACUAAUGACAAGAGCAGUGGGGAAACUAAUGACAAGAGCAGUGGGGAAACUAAUGAACGGCCUGAGGUAAUUGUAUUUUAACUCGCUUCAUCCAUUCUAUAGAAACAUAUGAGCUAACUAGCCAUGUAUUCAAUAAAUUUUGCAGACCAGGUUGAUGAUUAUAAAAGUUAUUGCACGAACUAUUAGUCUUCACAAGUUGCUUUUAUUCAAAUUUUAUACUUAUCUUCAAGGCUAUGCUAAGGUAAGAUUUGCUAACUGCCCUUUUUACAAUUUCUUUGCUGAAAAUUUAUUGAAACAGGGAUGCUCUUAAAUGCAGGAUGGUGUAAAGGACAUUACACAAAUACUUGCAGCAGCAGUUCAGGCUUGCCAUGAUGGGGUAUACAAACAUCUUACACUUUAAAGCAUCAUCCCUUUUCUCAUUCUGCAAUCCUUCCAAUCAUUUUUAUAUCGGGCAGGUACCUUCGGAUGCCGUGGAGCCACUGUUCAAGAAAAUAGUGAAUGAGUUUUUACACGAUCGCUCAAAUCCGGAGGUGUGAUUUCAAACACCAAGGGAGGGACUUAACUAGAAAGCUUAUUCUAUCAUUUAUAUUUUUCCUUUUUAAUUCAUUGUUUUCAUAUAUGUAACCAGGCUAUUCCUGUCGCACUCAAUGUGGUACGAGAAAUGUGCCUUAGGAUUCCCGAGGUAACUAGUUCUUAACUCUGGUUUAAUAUUCUCAUAUAAAUGUAGUUUUACAGCACCAAUCCUUUUUUCUUUUUUUUUUCUUUUUCUGAGUUGUCUUUUUGCUUCUUCUAUUUUUUUUUUGUCUGCUAUACUUCAGUUGAUGACAGAAGACUUGCUGCAUGAUCUUGCUCAGUAUAAAACGGAUAAAAAGUACCGUACCCAUAGAAAAGCCAUCUCAGCAGCAUCUGCUUCCCUCAUAGCAUUGUUCAGAGAGGUAGCAGAAGUAUUUGAUUUGUUAAUUGGAACAAAAUAAUCAGUGUAUGUGGUUAACCAGUAAUUACAUUAUUGUAAUUUCAGAUCAACCCUUUGCUACUAGUGAAAAAAGACCGUGGCCGUCCUGGAGGUCACAUUGCCAGACCUAAAAAGUAUGGAGAAAUCAAUGUCUUCAGUAAUGUUCCCAAUGUUGAGUUAUUGCAAGAAAGUGAUGAUGAUGAAGUGGCGUUGCCUGGGACUGAUGAUAUCGGACAGGAGCUGAUAACUGAGGACGAGGCUGAAGAAGAUUCUAAUGAUGGUGAUGAUAUGAAUAACAACACUGAAGAUGAUAGUGAUAUUGAUGACGUGGCAUUGCCUGGCAGUGAUGAUAUCGAACAGGAGCUGAUAACUGAGGACGAGGCUGAAGAAGAUUCUAAUGAUGGUGAUGAUAUGAAUAACACUGAAGAUGAUAGUGAUAUUGAUGACGUGGCGUUGCCUGGCAGUGAUGACAUCGAACAGGAGCUGAUACCUGGUGGAACUAAUGACGAGGCUGAAGAAGAUUCUAAUGAUGGUGAUGAUAUGCAUAGCACUGAAAUUGAUACUUUGGUCAGUGGGGAUGAAGAGAAUGACAGUGAUGAAGCCGAGACUGAUUGGGAAAACGAAGAAGAUGAUGGAGAAGCUUCUGUGGAGGGUAGUGGAAACAGAGAGAAAGCAGAGGGGAAGAAAAGGAAGUUAGUAGAUUUUGAUGCGAGUUUCCUCGCUGCUGAUACAAGCCUACGAGCACUAAAGAGAUGCGCAGAAGCAAAGAGGGAACAGCCAUCUUUUGCAGAAAGAGAUGGCAUACUUUCCAAUGAGGACUUCCAAAAAAUCAAAGAACUUAAGGUAUACAUACAUAUAUGCGAAAGAGACUUCCUCUGUUUGGUAAAGAAGUCCAACUUUGUUGAUGAUGUCUUGUGUCACAUGCAGGCAAAGAAGGAUGCGAAAAUUGCAUUGGCUCGAAAAGGAUUCAAAGUUCCGGAUUCUGAUAAGCUAAGUAAGAAGCUGGUCAAUCCAGCCAAACUUGAAGUAAGCUGUUACUACUAUGAGAAGCUCCAUUUGAGUCGCAAAAUGUUUUGGCGAUGUUAACUGAAUUUUCUUACUCUUUCCACAGGCUCACAUAAGGCAUAAACUAACAAAAGAAGAAAGGCUGGAGUUAGUUAAAGCGGGUAGGGAGGACCGAGGGAAAUACAAAUCCAAGACUGCCAUCAAGCAGAAGAAGGUAUCCGUUUUUGUUUCCGUUGUUACGAGAAAUGGUUAUUUACAAGCAUAGGCUGUGUGUUGUUUGAUGAUCCAAUAAUUGUGUGAAAUGAAAACGCAGACUGGAGGAUCGAGCAAUAGACAGAAGGAGCACAAGAAGAAUAUGCCUCUCGCUGCAGUAAGAUCAAAGGCUGGGAAAUCAAAGCGAGUCAAGAAAAAGAAGAAUAGCCUCAGCGGAAGCCAGUUCAGAGGAAGGAAAGCUUGGAAGUGAAAUUGAGCCAAACUCAUAUCCUUCUUUUUAUAUCUCCCUUUAUUAAAUUAUUUAACAUACUGGAAAAUUAAAUCAUUAUUACAAAACUUCCUGAUUUCUCAUAUUGGACUUGAUGAUAUGCUGUUUGAUGAACUUUACUUGUCCAUGAUAUUAUUAUCAUCACAGUUCACUUUCUCAUAUAGUGUUGUUGUGGAAUAUGGAUCAUAGAAACUUGUUUUAUUGGAUUCCAAAUAUCAAAUACAUAAUAAACAAACAACCAGAUGAAGAAGAAGCCACGAACGAUUCACUUAAAACUCUCUCUCCUCACUUCUUCUAACAAUGACCUCUGGAACGUUUCUGAUUGAGAUAGAUUAAUCCAAAUUUCACAUUUCAUCAAGUAAACAUGGAGAUGGUUGCGUAAUUUUCGAUUUGAGGCAAUCAAUAAAUUUGGCCGACAUAGUAUAUUAGGCUCGAAAUGGUACAUUGGGCCAAAGUCCAGCUCCGAAGACCAUUAACAAGAACACGUAUAAAGAAAAUGAAUCUAGGGUUUCAUCAUAUACUGGUAAUCUGAUUGCGGAAUGGGGGAUCAAGUUGACAACAAGUUCACAUGGGUGAUUAAGAAUGUCUCCUCUUUGCCGUCUGAGAAGAUAUAUUCUGAUUCAUUCGUGAUCGGUGGCUGUAGUUGGUAAGAAGAAGACAAGUUUUUUUUUUUGUUUCCCCUACAAUUUUAGGUAACGUUAUCAUUGAUUUUUGCUUGCAGGCGUCUUGUGGCGACAUAUUUCAAGAGAAAUAUAUUUAAUGAUUCUCUGUCUCUGUCUCUGUCACUGGCGGUGGCUGAUGCUGAGUAUUUGCCUUUUGGAUGGAAAAGACACGCAGAAUUUUCUUUUACUAUAGUGAAUCAAAUUUCUGAAGAAUUCUCCCAAGUGCAAGAUAUCUUUCGUGAUUUUACAGAAACACAAGAGUGGUUUGAUCACAGGACUCUUGCCUGUGGUUGUGCAUCCAGUUUUCCCCUUGCAAAACUGGAUGCCAAAUAUGGUGGAUUUAUACUGAAUGAACAAGUCAAGAUUGUUGCAGAGGUGAAAGUUCUUGUAGCUAUUGGCAAGUCUGAUGAGGCAGACAAACCUCUGAAAAAGAUCAAGAUUGAGUAUUAUGAUUUCCUCAGCGACACUCCACCAGUAGUGGAAGAACCCACUAUUGUCUACGGGUUUCCAGUUGUUUCUCCAGAGGUGGAAUUAGUGAGCCGCAUUUUUGAAAAUCACCCGGACGUUGCAUCAGGGUUAAGAAAGGACAUGAGCCCAUAUACGAAGAGAGCACACAUGUAUUCCCUAAUCUGCGUGAUUGAGACUCUGAACAAGCCACUUCAAGAAAUCUCAAGGUCUUAUUUGGUUGAUGCACGUGAUAGACUGGUGUUCCUCAGAAGCGCUGGACUUCUGUUGGAUUGGGUGGAGAAGAAGCUGGAUGAGGUGACCGAGAAGAUGGACAAAGAGGAACAAGGACAAGGAGAUAUUUGAAGGCAACACUGUUGGCAGCCAGACUGAUGCUUCUGUCUUCUCCGUUUCAAACUCUUAUUCUCUUUUUCUUUCUAGUUUCAUUUUGAAUGUGCUUGGUUUUACUUUAUUUACAAAACACACUCUGCUUUUGAAAAUCGGACACUUUUGGUUUGAUGACUAUCUCUAGGUUUUCUCUAUUGCACAGUGUGUUUCUUUACGGAAAAGUAAACAGUCGUUGAUCGGGAGAUUUAUUCGAAUUUCGAAGCCGAUUGCGACACUAUUUUCACCAUGAACUCCACCUCUUCCUCUCUGAUAUUCCUAUAAGAUUGAACCUUUUUAAGGCUAAAAAGCUCGAUAACAGCGAGCUUUCCCAUUUCUCGCCAAUGCUCGCCGUACUGCGAGAAACUGAUGUCUUCCCAGGGCCGGCGCAGAGGGCAAGCCACCGAAGCCACCGAUUAGAGCCUCAAAAUUUGAAGGCUUUUUUACCUAAAAAUUUGUUAAGUUUUCUUAUAUACAAUAAUUUUUGUAGGGCCUUUUAAAAAUAUUGUGCGCUUUUAGAGACAACUAAAACAUUCUUUUUAAUGGUAAAAAUCUAAUUUAAAAUAAUUUUUUUCAUGGGCUUUGAUUUGCUUAGGACACCCAAAUUCACCGGGCCGGUACUGUGUCUUCCGUAGGAGAGUUUACCCGUGCCGACCGUUCUUGGUCGGCUGCAACAUCCAAGGUCAUGGGUUUUGAGAUCUUCUUCAGCUGCUUCACUCGAGGAGAUCACAACCAUUGGAACAAACCCGCGAUGAAGAAGUACCACGGGUCCGUAUUUGAUGGAGAGAUGAUGAAAGCAUCGGUGAGGUAAUCCUGCGAAAUUGGUGUAAGUUUCCGAUGAUCGGGAGACUUGGAUGGCACGGAGGAAGAUUCCAUUUAGGGUUUCUCUUACCUUUGUCAUGAAAAAGAUUAAUGACACAAAAGUAAGAAGCAAUAAACCCCAUAAAACGCAGAGAAAGAAAGCCAUUUUCUUUUCUCUUCCUCUUUUUUUUUUUUUAGAGAUGAGAUUAGUUUAGUCUUGUAUAUAAGAUAAGUGAAAGAAGUUGUUGAUGUUAACUUUGUAAAUCAAGUGGCUGAGACAAAAGUUACAAUUUUGGUCGGUUUGAAUAUAUAGUAGGAAGCAAUAGGAAUGUGUCCAAACGAAAUAGAGACUCAUCCAUCUUAAAAUUUUCGCCGACUUUGUUUGUGUGGUGGUAGCAUAAAUGAGGAGAUAAAGAGUACGAGGAGGAGAAUUCUGGAGUGUAUAAGUUCCAUCAAAAACUAGUUUGAUAAAUUUUUAUUUCUGUUUGAAUUUGUUUAUUUUUUCCUAUAAGAAGAAAAAAUUCUCUUGAAAUCAUAAUUUUAUUUUAUUUUUAUUUUAAAGAAUUUUACAUAAAUAUCUUCGCUAUAUAUAAAAAAAAUUUGAUUGCGUCUCCAUUGAUGUUAAAUUGUCAAAAAGAUGGCUAUUAGUAUGUUUAUAAAAACAUAUUUAUGGUUAAAAACUUAAAAUAUGCAUAUGCAUCUACAUCAACAUUUUUUUUUUGAUCAUCUGAAAUUAUAUUAGAAUUUUCCAAACAUUUUUUUUGAUCAUCUGAAAUCUACAUCAACAUAUGACCACUCUUUUCUUUCAAACAUAACAAAUUAACACAUUAGUUGAAUAAAUGUUAAAAACAGUUAAAAAUUAUGUUUGUCUGUUUAACCUGUGAUUAGAUCUUAAAUGAUUGAACGAUUCCUUUUUUUCUUUAGUCAGUAAUUUGUGUUAGUUAUGGUUGAAGUGUUUGAUGAUCUAAAUGAUUAAUUAGAGUACCCAGCCCUUUAGAGCAAGUCCAAUGGUGUUUCUUAGUGAAGUUAUUAAGAAAUCCUUAGCUUAAAAAAUCAUUAAAAUUAAUGAAAACAAGAUAUUAGAGUUUCUUAGCUUAAGAAUUGUUUCUGUUUUAGGAUUUGUUAAGGACUCAUGUUGUGAUGCCUUGUGAUUGGGUGAGGAAAAAAUAUAGAAGCCAAAAAUAAAUUUAUCUCUUGUUUUUUUUAUUCUGCGACACUUAUUUUUCUGUCUUGCAAAAAUUUAUCUUUUUUUUUUUUUGUUUAAAUGCUAAAGUCUUGUUUUGUGAAUGGGGUUUUACUAAGACUCAGAUUCAUAUAUGGCAUAAAUUUGGCACGAAUUAAGCUAAAGACUAAUCGUUAUUCCGGUUUUUUAUUUAUAUUUUUUAAUAUGCUUUUCUGUUUUGUAUGUUUAAAAUUUAAGAAAAUUGUAAUAAUUAUUAAGUUUUAUCAAAUAAAAAAGUUUAUAAUUUUCAUUUUAAAAAUAAUUUUUUUUUUAAGAAACGUAUUUAAGGACUCUACCAUUGGACAAUGAAAAUUUUAAAGAUUCAACACAAACUCUUAAUUUUGAAAUUAUCACAAUUUAUAAUAAAAAAAUGUUUAAGAGUCCUUUUAAAGACUUUACCAUUGGACUUGCUCUUACAUAAUAUCAGAAUUAAAUUAGUUUUAAGUAUUGGAUUUUGAUCGCCACUUGGCCCACUUCAAAAAAUAAUUGUGUUAUAAUCUUUUACGACAAUACCAAGUGAAAUCAGUUGUGAAAGAAAAAAAAGCUAAUAAUGUUAAAACCGUGAAGAUUACCAGUAAAAUAGUUAGUUAAUCAUAUCUGGUUUCACUGAUUUUUAUUAUAAUUCAUUACUUUGCCUUUUUAAAAUUAAAAACGAAAAAAACAGUAAUGAGUUUUGGAUAAGGUUGAAGGGGUUUCUGGUGUUAUAACGUCCACCCAACUUUCGGUACAUCGCCAGCAUCGGAUUUAGCGGACCCCGAAACGUCCGGCUAAAGUCCAAUCCAUUAUCGCCACGUCAUCAAAUAACGUGUUAAACCGUCAAAAGUCGCCGUUACCGUCCUUCCCUCGGAUACUAAUUUUAGUACACAAAGAGAGAGAGACUUAAAAUUACUGUCAGUCAUACGUAUAUAUAUACGUAUUCGUAUAUCACGAUUAUUUUUCUUUUUUUAAUAAUAAAAAACUAUCUUUCUUUUUUAUCUUCUUCUUCUCCGAUCGGUGGAGUCUUGUCUCUCUAUCUUUAUAUUACUUGUUAACCUGCGCUUGCUUAUUGGAGCUCUUAACCUACGCGGAUUCUCCGAUUUAUGACAGCUGAACUCGAUUUGGUGGAUAAACAAGAGAGAUCGAGGUCCAAGAGGCCAAGGCUAGAAGAAUUCUACCGGAACAAAUGGAGGUUCUGGUAGGUUCUACGUUUAGGGAUCGGAGCAGCGUCACGGCGCAGGAUCAGGGUGUACCGGCGGCUCUGUCUAACCGGAUUGGUUUAAGGAGAUGUGGUAGAUCUCCGCCGGAGAGUUCGUCGUCUGUUGGAGAAAGCAGCGAAAACGAGGAAGAAGAAGACGACGCCGUUUCAUCAUCACAAGGAAGAUGGCUUAAUUCGUUUAGUUCAUCUUUGGAAGAUUCUCUUCCGAUUAAGUACGUUUCUUUAUUAAUUAUCUUCUAAAUAAUCAAAUUAUUCUUUAUUUACACCUGAAUAUAUUCGAUUUAAACCUCAACAAAAAAAAAAAAAAAAAAAAAACUAUUAAACCUUUUUUUAUUACAUGAAUAAAGUAAAUCACUAGAUUCUCUAUGUUCUUGUGUUUGAUUUUAUUGUUUGAUGAACCUGUAAGAUGUUGAAAUUGUUUCUCAGUUUAAAUGUUAUUACAUGUUGAGUGUUGGUUUAGUCAUUGUGGUUAGGUUUUGUUUUUUUUUUUGUUACAGGAGAGGAUUAUCAAACCAUUACAUAGGGAAAUCGAAAUCGUUUGGGAAUUUAAUGGAAGCGAGCAACGCAAAGGAUUUGGUGAAAGUGGAAAGUCCAUUGAACAAGAGAAGGAGAUUGCUUAUUGCUAAUAAGCUAAGAAGAAGAUCAUCCUUGUCUUCUUUCAGCAUCUACACCAAGAUUAACCCUAAUUCCAUGCCUUUACUUGCAUUGCAAGAAUCUGACCAAGAAGAUCACAAACUCAAUGAUGAUGAAACUAGUAAGCUGAAAGAGAAGAGGAUGAAGAUGACGAACCAUAGAGAUUUUAUGGUUCCUCAGACUAAGAGCUGUUUUAGCUUAACUAGUUUUCAAGAUGAUGAUCGAUGAUCAUUUUUGUUUCUCUUCUUCUUUUGUCAAGAGUAGAUAAAGUUUCGUUGACAAUAAGUUGGAGGAAGAUUUGACAGAAACCAAUUUAUGUUUAAUUGUAAUAAAUUAAUUUGACUGUUUGUAUAUUUUGGUAAUUCUCAACGAAGUAGACUUUUUUUUUUUUUUUUUAUCACACUUCUUGUCAACCUUGACAUUCGUUAAGCCCAUGAAAUUGGUUCUAUAAAAAAACUUAAGUCCACAUGACUAAGUCGUGAAUUUUGACGGCCUAGUCGUAAGUUCAAUAGAGGCUGCGUAGUCACUAGGAACAUGUUUAGGGUCGUUUUUCCCAAGUACAUAUUUUUUCUCUACCAAGUUGAAUUUAUUUAUGUACGAUUCAUCUUAGAUAUAGAAUUUGGAUAGAAGUUGAAUAUGUGUCUCACUGAGACGACCCACUGUCGAAAUACAAUAAUAUGUACACAUUAAAAAAAAAAAAUUGCCUACAAAGUAAUUAGAAAACAUAAAACUGAGAGUUUUGUUUUUGUUAAGUAUACUUUUUUCUUUCAAUUUACGUAAUAGCAUAGGAGAAACUGAUCUUUUCAAAUUUCGUAGGUACUUCAGAAAUGUGUCUAUGAAAUCGAUCAUAUCAAUUUUUAAAAAUUUAAGAAUGAUCAAUGAUGUCUAAAUGAUAUUUUAAUACUUCACAAUAAACUUAUGGUUCUAUAGUAUAUUUUUAGAAAACAAAACCAAGAGGUUAUAUUCUUAUCCAAUAUCUUCACAUUUUCAACUCUUCAACAAUUUCGCUUUCAGUAUUAUUGUGUAACCCAAUGCUUAUUUAUACUCAACUUACAUUUUUUAAUUCCAAAACCAGUAGUCCACCUACUAACAUCACGUUUUAAAAACAAGGCAAAAUUCUGCACCUGUCAAAAAAAACAAAACAAACCAACCAAUAAAACUUUUUGUCUUGCUAUAUAAACCACAGCAUCACUUAUGCAAAGUAGAAAAUAUCCGAAAACAAGUCUUAAGUAAGUCAAACAAAGAAAAAAAUGGAUCUCUUCUUGAUUAUAGCCGCUUUGGUAGCGGCUGCAGCCUUCUUUUUCCUCCGUAGCACGACCAAGAAAUCUCUCCGGCUACCUCCGGGACCAAAAGGUCUUCCUAUUAUAGGAAACCUUCACCAGAUGGAGAAAUUCAAUCCACAACACUUCCUUUUCCGUCUCUCCAAGCUAUACGGCCCGAUUUUCACGAUGAAAAUCGGAGGCCGUCGCCUAGCGGUGAUCUCCUCGGCCGAGCUAGCCAAGGAGCUACUCAAGACUCAAGACCUCAACUUCACCGCUCGUCCUCUCUUGAAAGGGCAACAAACGAUGUCGUAUCAAGGCCGUGAGCUUGGUUUCGGACAGUACACCGCCUACUACCGUGAGAUGAGGAAGAUGUGUAUGGUGAACCUCUUCAGCCCAAACCGUGUCGCAAGUUUCAGACCGGUUAGAGAAGAAGAGUGUCAACGGAUGAUGGACAAGAUCUACAAAGCCGCUGAUCAAUCAGGCACCGUUGAUCUAAGUGAGCUUCUCUUGUCUUUCACCAACUGUGUCGUAUGUAGACAAGCUUUUGGGAAACGGUACAAUGAGUACGGUACAGAGAUGAAGAGAUUCAUAGACAUCUUGUACGAGACGCAAGCACUUUUGGGCACUCUGUUUUUCUCCGACCUCUUUCCUUAUUUUGGAUUCCUUGACAACCUCACUGGUCUUAGUGCGCGUCUCAAGAAAGCUUUUAAGGAGCUUGACACUUACCUUCAAGAACUUCUAGACGAGACUCUUGACCCUAACCGCCCUAAACAAGAAACAGAGAGUUUCAUUGAUCUAUUGAUGCAGAUCUACAAAGACCAACCUUUCUCCAUCAAAUUUACUCACGAAAAUGUCAAGGCCAUGAUAUUGGUUCGUAACUCUAUCUAACCCUUAUUGCAAUUCUCUAAGUUAGUUAAAUCUCAAUAUUAUUAUUAUUAACUCGGUUUGUUUCUAAUUUUAUCAGGAUAUUGUUGUGCCGGGAACUGACACGGCGGCUGCGGUGGUGGUAUGGGCCAUGACUUACCUUAUAAAGUACCCUGAAGCGAUGAAGAAAGCUCAAGACGAAGUGAGGAAUGUGAUAGGCGACAAAGGAUAUGUCUCUGAAGAAGACAUACCUAAUCUCCCUUACCUCAAGGCAGUCAUCAAGGAGUCUCUUCGGCUCGAACCAGUCAUCCCCAUUCUUCUACACAGAGAAACUAUCGCAGACGCAAAGAUCGGUGGCUAUGAUAUCCCGGCCAAGACCAUCAUUCAGGUGAACGCGUGGGCGGUUUCUCGUGACACAGCCGCGUGGGGAGACAACCCUAAUGAGUUCAUUCCAGAGAGGUUCAUGAAGGAGCACAAAGGAGUGGACUUCAAGGGCCAAGAUUUUGAGCUCCUACCUUUCGGGUCGGGCCGGAGAAUGUGCCCGGCCAUGCAUCUUGGGAUCGCAAUGGUAGAGAUACCUUUCGCUAACCUUCUCUACAAAUUUGACUGGAGUCUACCUAAAGGGAUUAAACCAGAGGAUAUAAAGAUGGACGUCAUGACUGGACUCGCUAUGCACAAGAAAGAACACCUCGUCCUUGCACCAACGAAACACAUCUGAUGCUAUAUAUAUCAUUAGGACGUUUCUGCUGGUAGAUAUGGCGUGAUCAAUGGUUGUUUUUCAUUGCAAUAUUUUCGUUUUAAUGAGUACUCUGUUGGUGUUAAAUUUUUUUUAAAAAAAUAUGAGUACUCUGUUUUUUUGGGUCUGUUCUCAUUUUUUAACCAAUAAUGUAUUGAUGUGCUUCUUUUUUUUUAAGUCUAGAAAACAAAGUAUUUCCACUGGUUUAAAAUAUUUCUUGAUAUCUUAUCUACGAUGUCGAUAACAUAUGAUUAGAUUACAUGCUGCUAAAAAACAAUAAUAUGAAAUCGAAAGGAAGUUUCGUUGACAACGAUAAGUAGUGGAAGAUUUGACUUUGGACAACAUGUUGCCAAAAGAUUAGGACUAUCUUUAGAAUACUAAGUUUAUCAUUCUGAAAAAUUGAAAAGCAAUCCUAGAAUUCAAGUUGUAUGACUUUAUUCCUUGUUUUCUCAUUUUUGCAGACGAUCAAAAAACUCAAAAAAGCAUAUGAAAGAAAAGAGAAAUACGCUUUUGACUUAUAAAAACAGAGAACAACGAAAGGCCAGAAAAGCAAAGAAGAGUAGAGAUCAAUCUGAAAUGACGCGAUUCUAAAUUGGAGCAAACCCAUGCUUUGAAAUCUACUAUAUCAUAAAGCAUUUCAAGAAAAUCACGGCUUAAUCUCCUCAACAAACGACUUUAUAGAAGAAGAAGAAAGCAUUACCAAUAAAACAAAAUCGUCUAGUAGUGUAAAUAAAGCACAGCCGUAUGAGGAAGAAUCCAUCGGUGCCAUACCGGAAAAUAUACCGGUUAAGGAAGAAUGAUAACAAAUUGAAAUGACUCUUUACAUAUCCUCAACCGCCUCCUCUCUCCUUGUAGUAAACAGAUUCAACCAACAAAAAAUUGCUCAAGAGAGAAACGUACGUAGUCUAAACCUGUUACCUUGCACGCCACCAUUCCAUGCCUGUGAGAAAUCAUCGGUAUGGUACCGGAAAUUAGACCAUUUAAGGUUUAAGGAUUCAAACAUUUAUGGAUUGGAUUGAGAAAUAGAAUACGUUUUGAGAAGAUUAGCUAACCUCAGCUACUACCCUUUUGUUUGAGGGUGAUUUUGUCCCCAAGACUUAGAGCAAUCCCUUGCGUCUUGCUCCUUAUCCUUAUGUAGCCACUCAAUGCUCCAUCGGUUUGCUUCUCAAUACUCACAUUCACAAGAGCAUCUUCACCAAACACACUUUUUGCAUAUAAGUUUGCUGCAAGGAAUCCACAUUCACCUUCUAUUGCGGAUCUGCAAAUAGGGAAGCAUUGAUUAGUAAGAAGAGUUUUUAGUUUCUAUCUGAUGAAAGAAGAAUUUGAACUUACGGGGCAGUGAGACAUUUCAUGUUUGUGGAUUUGAUAAUGUGGUCGAGGAAUUCUCUUUCGUUUUGAAUUGUGGUGUUCACAGCAACCUGACAUGAAGAAUACAACAGGGAAUGGUUAUACCAAACUCGAACAAACAAACAAAAAAAGAAGCUACAACUAUAAAAGGUUUCGGUAAAUUACCUUGUUUUCCCAUUCAAACUCUGCCCACAUAGUUCUGAAAGCAACCUCUGAGCACACAGCAGGGGAGAUAUAGUCCAUGAUAUCAAUGUGUAUGUCGUUAAGAACCACGACGUUUCGCUCCAUUACAUUUGAUGUCUCAUAGACGAUGUUCCCAAAUAUGACUCCCGUCUCUGUGGACGAGACCUUGAUGUUUGCUUUUAUCUGCAUGCUUCUUUCAGGUGCCAGACUAUAGUUCUGAGGACGCUCAACAAGUUUGAGAUCACCCAUGGUUGCUAACUCCAAGCACAGAUUCUGAAGGGUUUCCUUGGUACGGUUGAUUACUGUAACUUCGAGCGCAAUAUCAUAAUGGUGUACCGUCACAUAUGCUUCAGCAUAGACUGGGUCACUGAAUCCCGUGAGCUGAAGAAUGCGGUUAAGUUUGUUAGCAUCGUUCUCGUCCUUGGUGAAUUCUCCAGUUGCACGCUUUAGGUCAUCUUGUACCUGGUCUUCCAACUCAAGUUGACUCAUUCCCUGAAAGAAACUUAUCAUCAGUACUUUCAACUACAGCGAAAUAAAUAAACAUAGCAUGCCACUAUCAACUUCCAUUGUCUUUCUUUGAAACUGAGAAUAUGAAAAAAUAUCGGAUAUGAACUGUAAGAUAAAGUAGACACCAACGAUAUCAGAACUAAACAGAUUGCCAAGGAAAACUCGUAAGGAAAAAAAAACACAAUAAAGCAAGGGCAAGCUUAGAAAGUAAUAUUACCUUCCGACUCUUUAGAUGGAAGAAGUCAAUUAGAUCAUCAGGUUGAGCAUGAGUUGUUUGGGUCUUUGCCUUUAGUUCCUCCAUCUCUCUAAGCUGUUUUUCAGAAAUCAUCUUGACAAAACUCUGGCGACAGUAUUCCAACCAUAUCUUUUUCAUCUCAUCAUUCCUAUGGCAAAGCAAUUUUAUGCACAACACAAUCCUCUCAUACGAAUCAUUAUCAAUAGGGUGUGGAGAAACAGGAGAUUGCCCAAGUUGCAACAUAGAAACCAUAAUCAGCAAAGCCUGUGUGACUGUCUUGUUUACUUCAGUUUUAGAAGACUGAACCUCUUCCAACCUAAGAACAAGUUUAGUCAACGUGCAAGCAACCACUGCUCCAAGGAAAAAAUCACCAGUUAGAAGCAGUGCUCUCAAAUUUCCAGAAGUCAGUGAUCCUUGAACAACUGUAGGUGAGGAGAAUGUGGUUCAGAGGCUGCGCUUUGGGUAGCAUAAGUUCCAUCAGCAAGAAUCACUGGCUUUCUAGAGGACACCAUGGCAGAAGAGGUAGGCUGAAUCUUCUUCGAUGUCUCAGUUGGCUCAGACUCCUCAGAAACAGAGUAAAAUGGUAAAUCGCCAAGGCAUUGUUUAAUGGUUGAAAUGCCACUCUCAACUUCUGAAAGUGAUAGGCAAUACUCCCCAAUAAUCCAAAGUGCACAAGGGCAGACCUUUCCUGCGCGGAUCUGAUAGAACGUGUCCAACAACCUGGUUAUGAUUGAAACUCUUAACUUCGGAUUUGUUUCUAUUAUCUCUCUAACAAAAACAACCACGUCAAGAGCUGAAGCCACAUUGCUAUCUCCCAAGAAAUCCAUUAGAAGAUGGACUACUGUACUUGCAACUUCGGGGAACUUCACUGCACAAGCAUGGAUUGCUUGAAUAAGCAUUUGUCUGUACUCCCCAUUCUUCUCAAGUUCUCCACUCUGUGUCUUCACAACUUCUUUCUUCAACAUUUGAACGACCUCAUUAAUAUUAUGAUGGGUAAUCAAGUCAAGGGCAAUGUCAAGUGUCUUCCUGCGGAUAUCAAGGUUUGGGCUUGAGAGUGCUCUGAGCACAUCUAUUAUCAACUCAACCAUGAUAUCUCUGUGCAAUGUCUUAAGCUCAUACAACCGAUCAAGCAAUAUUAGCUUCACAUUGUUGUCACUCUGAGAAAGAAGAAGUUGGCAGUAGGUGUUGGCAGCAGCCCUAAUAGCAGUCGGGGCAGAAGAGAGAGAAACAAGUGUCCCAGCACAUUCAUAGAUAACUGCAGAAGAAGUAGCACUUAACAGAGAAAUAAUAAUCUUAAUAUAUUUCCCCUUCUCUGUUGGUUUAGUCUUACACACACUUCGAAUCAACUCCAGCACCACCAUCUGAAGUGAUUCAUUCCAGUCUGAAACCUUGUCAACAUUGCUCAGAAGAUAAUUCACUGCUCGUUCUUCGGCACAGGUAAAGAGCAUUAGAAAUGCAUUUCUCUUGGCAGACGGAUCUUGUUCUGUUGAUAGAACUUUCUCGAUCAUUUCAGGUGCAUCCACAAAGAGUUGGUCUCCUUGUGGAAGCUUAUAUAUCGACAUGAUAGCUAGGAUUGCAUUCCUACGUACAAACGGAUGGCGAUGCUCCAGAUUUUGCAACACUGAUGGAGUCAACGGUUCUACUAUUUCAGUCUCCUUCAACCGGCAGAGAAACCUCAGUGUCACACCACGGAUGUACUCAUUCGAAUGCUGAAGGUUAUUCCGAAGAUUCUGGCAUAUCAAAAUCAUUUCAGGUAACACCUUCCCCUUAGAAUCGGUUUUUUCAAUCAGCUCCAGGUAUAGCAACAGAAGCUUUUGGAUUGUGUGGUCCUCAGAAGGCAGCACAUAUCUUAUAAUGGUUAUGAAAAGCUGAGGAAUGGUUUCACCAUUCAACAAAAGCAUAACCGCCUUCUUCAUGGCAUCAAUUUUAGCUUCAACAUCAUUUCCUUCGAGAGCUUCUUUAAUCUCAUUGGCCACUGCAGGAGUCCCUUUGUCAUAGUGCACAAGCAAGGUACUAGAUUUGUCCAUCUUUUCCGGUGCUGCAGCUGCAAAAAAAGUGAAAGAGAAACCGAAAAAAAAAAAAAACUUGUGAGCCCAAAUGAAAAGGAAAAUAGUGCAGGAACAAGUGGUACCAAUGUAGCAUAAGAAAGAUAGAAAGUGAAUAUAGAGAAUAGGAACCCAAACUCCAUACAAUUGAUUAAAGACAAAAUGAGGUAUAUAUAGAUCACAAGUAACAAACAAGAUAUCCAAAAUGUUAAUAUUUCUUGCGAUUUCAAGUUUGAAUUACUGAGUAUAAGCACCUUACUAGUGUCCUCAUCACUGCUCGAGUAAGUUCUAUACAAGAAGUUUAUGAGUAUCCUCCUCAGCAAUAAUCUACACCUCUCUACUUAUAUAUCUAUACAACGAAUGAAGCAUCUCUUUUCUCUCGAAUCCAUGGUUUAUGAGAAAGCAUCAUAAUCGCAGAAGAAUAUUCGGUAAUGUUCAAUCAAGGACCGAAAGAUGCAAAACAUUGACAAAUCUAAAUCAUCAGAUCCAGCGAUACACAUCACUUUACCAAAACAUUAACAUAAAAUCGAAUAAUAAAAACAGCUUCCGAUCAACUAAAAUUCAAAAAACAUCCCCAGAUUUGAUGAACAAACAAUGGAAUCUACAUAGUUCGCAGUCUCACUAAGCUGCACAAACAUGAGAAUCAGUUUCCUACCGGGAUCGGAUCAAUCUUUAAGGAGAUCGAACAAAGAACGUCCGAGAAUAUCGAACAUUGUAGAGUUUUCACAAAGGAAAAAGGUAAAAGGGGGAUCGAUCUCUAUGAAAUCUGAGUCGCAAGUUAAACAGAGAGAGAGACGAACCUCAAGGUACGAGAUCCAGAGAGAGAGAGGAGGAGAUCCACGGAGUUACGAAGCUUUUGGAUCCAAGAGAAGAUUUUGGAUCUCGGAAAACAAAAACACUCCCACAAAGUGAGAGAUAAAAAAUGAGCUUAUUAUCGUGGAUUCGUCUUCUGAAUUUACUCCUCCAAAUCCGUUUUUUUUUGGAAAACGAAGAACGGAAAAAAGCGAGUCAGCCUCAAAGGCCCAAAUAAUUGAUUGAUGGCAAGCCCAGCCCAAUAGAUGUUGAGAAAACAUAGCCCCUUAUGUUUUUAAUUGUUUCCAAAAUGACCCCAAACUUCAUAAAGUGAGCUUCAUUAGGAUUGAGGAAUCUUAGGACACUUUGGUCAGAGUUUAUUACCUAACCAACAAACGGUAGUCAACUAAAUUGAUAUUCUUUUGGUCUAUUUGAUGUUCUACAUAAUAUAAAUUUAGUUAACCAACGGUAAGCUCAACAACUAGAAGCCUCACAAUAUUUAAAACAAGGCAUCCCAAAUUUGUAUCACGUUCUCUAGCACACCAUCUGAUACGCCUCAUAAAUCUGCAUAGUAAGCAUGUUAAUAUGUUAUAAUUAAACAACUAUUUUAAAAGUGGUCAAAAUAUAUAUAACUUAAUUAGGUUUUAUGAAUGAGUUUGUAUAAGUAUGUUUUAUGCUUGGGAUGCUUGCUCGUUGCUAUGCCUAUGAUAAAGUUUCUUCUUACAAAAAAAAAAAAAAAAACAUUCUAGUAAAACUUCCCUCAUAUAUAAUGAUCUAUUACCUUACUAGAUUUUAUCUCGUGGUACACCACAGAUCGAUUUUUUUAACUACAAAAUUAAAUUUUAAGUUGUAUUUAUUUUAAUAUUGUUUAUUUUGUUAAGUCUUUAAGAUCGUAUAAUUGUAUUUUGAUUGUUAAUUUUAGGAUUUUAUCCGUGAUACGUCCCGUAUUAAUAUCGAUCCAAACCCGUCCUACCAUAUAACCCCGUUCCGUGAAAUUAAAUAUCAUUUUGUUAUUUUUAAUAAUAUUUUAUCAAAUAGACAUAUAAUUCGAGUCAAUUUAAAAGUUUAAUAUUAUAUAUAUUUUUGAAUUUUAGUUAAUAAUAAUUAAUUCUAUAUAAUGAUUUCCGAAUUAAUUGCGUAUGUCCAACAGUAAGAAUGAAGAUUAAUAACCAGAUUAAGAUUUGAAUGGUCACGAUUAAAUAUAGGGAUUGUUGAGAUCUUUUAAGGAAAUCGAAUUAAAUAUGGAUUUAAUUGUGAUAAAGAUUAUUUAUUGUUAAUAUAUUAUGUUAAGAUUUUUGGAAACAAUUUUUUAUGUUAAUAAGUCUGGGCAAAUAAACCGAACCAAAUGUACCGAACCGAAACCGAAGCAAAAAAACCGAACCGAACCGAACCGAAAAUUUGAAAAUAACCGAAUGGAUAAUAAAUUUAAUAACCGAAAUAACCAUAACCGAAUCGGUACCGAACCAAAAUAUUUUGGUUAACCAAAAUACCCGAAAUACAAUUAUAUUUUCAAAAUAAUUAGUUAUUUAUAGACCAAAUAAUCAAAAAAUACUUGAAAAAUAUAUAAAAAUAGUUCAAAUACUCGAAAAUAACCAAAAUAUAUCCAAAAAUAUCUGAAAAUACUCAAAAAUAACCGAAAUAUCCGAAAAUAUCCUAAGCAAAAUAACCGAAUGGAUACUAAAUUUCAAAACCGAAAGAACCGGAACCGAACCGAAAUUUCAAAAUAUCCGAAUGGGUACUAAAUUUUAGAACCGAAAAAACCGAAACCGCAUAGACCCAACCGAUAAAACCGAACGGAUAACCGAAAGCCCAGACUUGUUAAUAUCUUUGAUUUAAAUUUGUAAUUCUAAAUAAUUAAUGUCCAUGAUAUUUGAUCGUAGUUAAUAUCUUUGAUUUAAAUUUGUAAUUCUAAAUAAUUAAUGUCCAUGAUAUUUGAUCGUAAAUAAGUUGAAACUCGAGGAUUUAUUUCAUAAAUGUCUCUGAAAAUGUAUAUAUAGAUGCAUGCUUUGUUUGAAAAGAAUCAUUCCCUACAAAUAAUCAAUGUUCCACCGAAAUGAUUAGCACUUGUCAUUGCACAUUAUUAACAUAGCAUGUGUUUAGAUUCUUUAGAUGAUAUAUACGUACAAAUAUGAAAGUAUAAACAAUGGUGUAUGUAUAUAUAUAUAUAUAUAUAUAUAUAUAUAUAUAUGUAGUACUAGAUCCAGAGAGGUUGACAAUCAAAUCUAACUCAUCUUCCCAAUGGAACCAAAAUCUUUGAUAUUCGUCAUCAUCAUUAUCAUAGUCAUCAGCACUCCACUUCCUUCUCUCUCUUUUCAAUUCCCAUCCAACAAAACACCAACAACAUCAACACUAAUUUCUUCUCAAUACAAAACCCUAGCCCGCAACACAAUUCAGCAGCAGUUUCUCCGACCACACAACAUCUUACGAGCCAAGCUUCGUCUCCCUCCUCUGAAAUGGAGCAAUAGUCUCGCCCUCUACGCGAGCCGGUGGGCCCAAACCCGCGGUGGAGAUUGCAAACUUAUUCACUCCGGGGGACCUUACGGGGAGAAUCUCUUCUGGGGAAGCGGAAAAGGGUGGACUCCACGGGACGCGGUGGCUGCAUGGGCAUCGGAGAUGAAAUACUAUGACCGGAGGACUUACCACUGCAAGGUGAAUGGGGAUUGUUUGCAUUACACGCAACUUGUAUGGAAGAAGAGUUCGAGGAUUGGGUGUGCAAUCAGUUUUUGCAAGACCGGUGCCACAUUUAUUAUUUGCAACUAUGAUCCUCCUGGUAAUAUUGUUGGACAGCCACCCUUUUGAAUAUUGUCUACACUUUAUCUUUACCUUUAUUUUCCUCAACUACGUACACUUUAUCUUUAUUUAUGUAAAAUCUUGUUUUGAUUCUUGGAUAUUUGUCAUAUUGUAUGUAAGAUAACAAAAAUGAAUUACGUUUUCUCUUGUAUCCGUAUCAUAUGUACAGUAUAUGCUAAACUUUUCGGGUAAGGUUUCAGUUUCAUUAUAUUAAGCCACCAAUAAAACACCUGAUUUUUAACAUGAGUUUUUUUGGUGAUGCAAUUUGUGUUUUGAUAUAUUUUUGUUGCCGUAAACAAAUUUUUAUUUUUUAUUGUUUGGCCGGUUUGAUUGUGUUUCGGUUGAGAUGGGGGACCUACGUUCUUAAAUUCAGACUUUCAGUUCAUGUUGACUUGGUUCGGUCUAUGUUAGAUGCUGAUAUUGACUUUUAUCCGGACUGCCAAAUUGAACCGAAUAAAACCAAACCAUAAAUUAAGGGGAACUAAUCUGGGCCUCAGAGCCAACGAAAUAAAAAAGCCCAAUGCUUCAAAACUCAGAAACUGAACCCUAAAGAGGCUUAGAUCGCUACAUCGACGCCGGUCCGAAACUUCGACUCGUGGUUAUCGUCAGUUUCAUUUCUGCUUCUUCUCUCUCUCGUGGCUAGACCAUUUAUGUGGUUUGGUUCACUUCAGGUCAGCUUCUCAUCGAUUCUCUAUUCUGUUUGUCUUGAUUCGACGAUUCAUUUGAUCUUUUAUUCAAUCGGUGUCUGAUUCGAGCGACGGCGAAGCAAGAAGGCGAAAUAGCAUACCGGAUUUUACCGGCUAAUUUUAUCCGGUUUGACUAAAAUCGUUGGCUAAACCGAUUUGUUUCCAUCUUCAGGUCAUACCAAGCACAGAGAAAAGCAUUUGGGUAGGUUUUGCGAUCUGUGAUUUUCGGAAGGAGAAACGAAAAUGGCGUUUAGAGGGAAGGAGAUGAUGAAGAAGCUGGUGAAGAGAGUGGGAGCGGAGAAUAUCACGCCAGAGCUCAAGGAGAAGCUCAAGGCUUGUGUUCCUGAUACCAAAGUCGUCAUGGGCAGAGCCAAACGCGGUCUCUACGCCGGCCGCCAUAUCCAGUACGGCAACCGCGUCAGUGAAGAUGGUGGAAACAAGUUUGUCUCUUUCUCUCUAUGCCUCCCUAUCUGUUUAUGAUGUAUGUGUAUUCGCUUGAGAUUUGUUGAAUUUAGAGCUUGUGAUGGUUUUGCUUAAAAUUCACGCAUUGAAGGGCUAAUUUGUAUGUUUUUUAGGAAUGCUUUCUAGAUUUAGGUUUCAUUUUGGUGAAAUGAAAUCUAAAUUCUUGCGUUUGGAAGUAUUCAAUAGCCUUUGAAAUCUUUAGCUGGUUAGAGAUUGUAUAGUGCCUCAUUUUGUUUAGCGCUCUCAUUUGUUUCCGGAAGAUGGCAUUGUUGUUUUGUUUCUGUAUCAUGCUACUCUAAAGAUUCUCAAUAUUUUGAGCCAUGGUGUGAUGAAAUUUAUCCCCUUUAUAGAGAAAUGUAGGAUCCAUGUAACCUAUGUGUCUUAAUCUGAUUUAUUCUGUAUGGUUUGGUAACUUUUGUUUGUGAUUUGAGUUCAGGUCCAGAAGAUGUUGGAAACCGAAUGUCCAGGAGAAGCGAUUGUUCAGCUACAUAUUCGACCGUCACAUUAAAGUCAAAGUCACAACACAUGCUCUCCGCUGCAUCGACAAAGCAGGAGGAAUAGACGAGUACCUGCUAAAAACACCAUACCAAAAGAUGGACACAGAGAUGGGUCUUUACUGGAAAACCAAAGUAGAGCAAAGAUAUGCAGAGCUAGGUCAAAUGGAAGUAGCCUUCUUCACUCCAGAGGAUGAAGCCAAGUUCGAACAAGGAUUCAAAGACUUGAAUAUAGCUAAGAAAGAUGCUCGUAGGGAAGCUAGAAGAAAGAUGUAUGGAAAGAAAGGCGGAGAAGGGAAAGCUGAUGAAGAAGCUUCUAUUGAAGGUGGAGGGUCAAAGUCACACCAAGAAGAUGAUCAUGGGUGGUUAGAAGCUAAAGCUUAGUGCUGCACUCUUUUCUUUUUGCUGAGGUUCUUCAACGUUUUUAGAUUUUGGAAGAUGUGAGAGGUAUGUGAUGUUGUAGGUUAUAGGUUCGAUUCCUCCCUACGAAUCCCAUAACUCAGGUUUUGACUUUGAUCAAUGUCGAAAAGUCUUGUAAUAAAUGGUUUACACCUCUUUGGAAUUGGAUCUCUAUUUACCAUUUUUACAUACUUAGCUUGUCCUUCUCUUUCGAUACCUCAUCUCCAAUGGUGAACAGUAGGUGAUCUUAGUAUUAUAUAUUUGCGUAAGUAUUCUUCACAAGUUAAUAUUAUCUGAAAUUUCGUUCAUAUAAUUUUAAAACAAGUGUGUCAGUGGUAUUUCUGAUUUUUGUAUUUAUUUCAGUUCUAGUAUGUAUUUAAUUUCUGUUAUCAAUCAUUUAACCAUUCAUUUCACAAACAUCAACUAAAGUUUGAUUUUGGAUCCACCAAAAAGUUAUAAAUUUAAAGAAUUUGGUUGCUCUACCAUAAAGUCACAAAUUUUCUUAUUUUAGAAAACAAAUAGUAAUAUAGAGAGAUUUAAAAUACAAAAAUCAAGGAUAAAGGCUAAGAUGUUUGUUGCUAUAAUAGAGGACAGAUAAUUAAACUACAUUAUCCUUAGUCGUGGCAUCAUCACUAAAUACUUAUCAGAAUUCUCAUGAUUUUGUUUUCUUUUUCCAUCUUCUGACCAAACAAAGAUAUUGGACAUAAUAACUUUAGUUUAAUAUCUUUAGUUCUCUACCGCUACCUAGAGACGUCGCAAUCUCUACCAACCGUCAGAUAUUCCGACCCCAUUAUAGACGGCGAGGAUCUCUGCGUCUCCGUCAUCUCAGAUUCUUUUUUUUGCGAUAUAAAAUUUAAUGAAUAUUUGCUUUGAAGGUCAUUAUGGAAUAAAAACAAACAUUUGAUUUAUUCUUAAUUCCAAAAAGAUAAAUUACUUAAAAUAACUUGCAAAACCGAAGAAAAAAUAUCGGCAACAAGAACAAAACGCUCUUCUAUUUUUUUUCUUCAUCUUCCAAUUUCCAGGAACAAGAUUGGACGAAAUCUAAAGGUAAUCAUCGAACAAAAUAAACAGCUUAGCUUCUAAAAAUCCUUCCUUUACCUCGGGAUUCUUUUUAUGUUUUCGGACAAAUUGACUUUUUUGUGUGUUUAUGAUGGUUUGGAAACUAAUGAUAAAUGAUGUUACUGUUCUUGAUUCUGAAUCGAUUUUGUAAGUUGUAACUCUCUCUUGUUUUAGACCAGGUAACAAAGAAAACAUUUACUGUUUUUGUUUCUCUCCAAUGAAUCACUUGUGUAAAAUAGUUGAGAAUUGUUUCUCUUCAUGUUCAAGAAAUUUGAUUGUUUUAGUUCUUUUUCAAAAUGAAAUCUUUAUUGAGAAGUGAUUGUAGGCAUCGUUUGGAUCAUUUUAUGAAAGGUUUCAUUUUUAUUUGAACCAUCACAGAUGAUAAGCUUUUGUUUCGAUAGGACCUUUGCUAGACUUUUGUGGUUGAAGCUCUUUAUGUUUGGCUGUUGAUUUUUAAGAUCGUUAUUACAAGAGUUUAGUCAGAACAAUGUUUUCUUCUAAUGAUGAUUUUAUGUCUGGUGCAAAGGUAUUGAAUCGCAGAUUUUAGCAGUUUAGUCUCUGAGUAUGACUCUUGUAUUUGCUCUUUUGCUCGUUUUUUUUUUCUAUCAGUGUUUGAUCUGUUCUUUUUUUUCAUUCUUUGGGGAACUUUGGAGUUCAAAUGAAUAGUUUUUCUUCAAGAAUUUGCGUUUUGAUAAAGUAAAAUAAAGAGUCUUUUUGUUACAGGUAUUGCAUCCAUUUAAAAAGUUCAUGGAUAGGUGGUCGGGUAAAAGAGCGCAUGAGGCGCGACCUGACUCUAAGAAGGGUGGUGGUGUUGUUUUCAGAGAUAGAUUUAACAACAAUAGUUGCAAGGUUCCUAUUUGUAGUGAUGAGAAAAAAACGAUGAACUUUACUCGGUUUGUUGGCUCUUCAGAUAAGAAAGAGAAGUCAGUCUUGUCUACAUACCGCUCUUCGCCAAACGGGAAGGAAGUAAUUGGAACUUCCUCUAAGAUUUGUGGCUCUAGCUCCUCUUCUGUGAAAAGUGAGAAGCAACCGUUUUCUCAGAUAGCCAUGGAUUCAUCAGAGAGCAGCAGAGGUAGCGAAGAUGAGGUAGAGACAGAAAUCUUGCAAGUUUCUCUUGGAAGAGAUAAAAGAAAAGCUAACAAUAAACUUAUUUAUGGAAAAGUUAUAACACCAGAAGCGGAAUGUUCAAACUUGCCAUCGAGCUCAAGAAUCAAGAGAGGUUUUAGGCAGAGGUUUGGGUUGAGCAAGCAAGAGUUUCACCCUGGUCCCUCUGGCCAGUCAACAUCUGCCAACCGAGGAUGCAGCCCGUUGUUAUCCGGUGUCAUUCCAAGUGGUUUUGGAUUGGAGAAAAGAUUAAGUCGGAAGGCAGAUACUAUCAAUAAGAGGAAAGUUUAUGGAGAAAGCAGUUCUAGCUCCUCAGCUAGGGGGAAGAAUGUAACAGAAACACCAGCUGAAGUGAGACGUCGUAGUUUUAAUCCGAGAGGUUCUGUUUCAGAUAUUAGACAGGCUAGACACUGCAUUUUGAAUGAUGACAACGAUGUUGCUUCAUUUGGGAGUCAGAGAUUGGCAGAUAGAAGUAAUAGUCGCAUUAGAUUCUCAAACCCUGGGAGUGGUAGAGAAGCUUUAUCCUCUGUCACGGCAACAGAGAUGUCUCAGACUGAGACAUCAAACAAUCUCAAUUCUCCUGUCUCUUUGGAGCUGUUCUCUGGUUUCCCAGAAUUUGGCCUCUCUGGUUCCUUAUUGAGUCAAGACAGUUUUCGCAGUUACAAUUUAGAUGGGAUCUCGGAGGUAACUAUUUCCUGUUACUCUACAACUUGACAUCUUGUCUGAGCAUCAUCAACUAGUGCUUACAACAAUGCCCUUAGCACCGUUUAACUUUUGGUGUUUUGUAUUGCUCGGAUGCUUUUGCAGAUUUUGCCAGAACUUGAUAGGAUUGAACAAGAUAUCGAGCUUAAUUAUGAGGUUAAAAUUUGACACAUGUUUUGACUUUUGAGUUUCAGAUGUUGUGAUAGUGUUGUUACUCAUAUUUUCCUCUCCCUUAUCAGGAGCUGCUUAUCAUGGAGACAGGUUUACUUCUCGGUGGACUAAGCUUCCAUGACCAACACCGAGACAUGAGGCUAGACAUAGAUAACAUGUCAUAUGAGGUUCGUCCUUACAUCUUUCAAACUCGUGUUCCGUAUUGGGAUGUAGUAUCUUUACCGUUUUGUCUUUUUAUUUUUGAAUGAAUACAGGAACUAUUAGCUCUUGAAGAGAGGAUUGGUACAGUAAGCACUGCUCUCACAGAAGAAGCAAUAUCAAAGUGCUUGAAAACAAGCAUCUAUCAGAUGAAACCUGUAACUUAUGGGUCUAUCACCAAAAGUCCUAGUGAUCACAAGGAAGAUGCCAAAUGCAGCAUCUGCCAGGUUUGUCUUGUUAGUCAUAAUCAAGCCUUUGGCUUUGAUGAAAUCUUAAGGAAAGCCUGCCAUGAGUUGAUGUAGCUAAGUGAACAACACCAAACUUUGUCUAUUGUUGCGGGUGCUGUCACAAAGUGUAAUGGAAAUCUUUGAUUAUUACAGGCGUUUCAUUGAUGCAUGAUGGUGAAUAUAGAACUGAUAUGUAUUUGUAUAUGUAAAAUCAGAAAUUUUCUUUACCUUUUCUCUACAGUUCUUCACACUCUGAUCUUUGUGGUUUACAGGAAGAGUAUACAAUAGGAGAUGAAGUUGGGAGGCUACACUGUGAGCACACAUACCAUGUGAAGUGUGUGCAAGAGUGGUUGCGGAUGAAGAGUUGGUGCCCAAUCUGCAAAGCCACUGCCGAAACUUCCUCUAAAUAACUGUCUUCUUCUUCUUCCUCGUUCGUUGUAUUAUUUAUUUCAUCUAAAGCCUGUGAACAACAAUGGAACCUGCCUAGAAAGGGCCUCACCAUUUCCUUUGUGUACAUACCAAUUCACACCGGCUCUGUCUCUCUUUCUAUAUUCCUUUUGUCUAAUGACAAAGCUAUCCUGUGUUUCUCUUCGUCUUUUCACCUGUUUCCUGUUGAUUUCCGUAAUGUAAAGUGGGAAAGGCGGAAAAUAUGUCAUUUGAACUUUGAAGAUUAAGAAAACGUCAUCUUGAAUUCUUAAACUUGGACAAUUUGUUGAAAAACAACAAAGAGCGUGCGUGGUUCUUUGGAUCUCUGGACUUGUGGGAAAACUUAAAAAGACAUUCAAAGAAGAAAAUGGAGUCGCCUUCUGCAUAUUUUCAAAGUAAAAGCCAAAGGUUUCCCAAAAAAGAGAGCAACAAUUACUGUUGGAUAGACUGAGAAGCCGAAAGCAGAAUCAUCACGGGAUUUAGAAUCUGAGAAUUUCAUGAUUCUCCAUAGCGAGAGUAUAAUACAUUUUCCCAUUUGUAAUUCAGCUCAAGUAUUACUUGAUAGGAUCAUCUGAAACAGUUUAUGUCAAUACCUUGUAGGGUAAAAGAAACAAGUAAGAAAACCAACCAGUAGAAUGUAAAAAUGAGGCAAUUCACUGAUUUUGAAAAUAACUUUUUCACUGAAAUGAGGUAACAAAAAUGUAAAUGUAAAUGUAAAAGUGAUGUCAAUGUGUCUUCAAGAUAUAAAUUCUAAAACAAUUCUAAGACUAUGUUACAUACAGAGCAAUACUGCAACUAUUACGUGAUUGUUUGUACCUUGCUCUUGCCUAAAACCCACAGUAUCUCAGCCAAAACUUUCUCUUGAUUUCCUUAUCGGCCUGCGUUUACACUCAAAGCUUGAAACUCGCUGGAAUGGCCAGAUUUCUUUUGAUCUUACAACAACACGUAUUCAUUCAUAUCUACUAACCUGCCCCGAGUCUGCGGCUCCAGGACAUAGUUGGGUCAAUCAGCCAUCAGGUCCAUCAUGGGAUACAGAGCUCAAGAAUUGUUUUCUACCAAAAUCAGUGGCCAGUCUUUUUGGACCAGAGAGCUUACUCAGACAAUUUGCAGCAUCCAAUAUGCCUAACCAUUUUCUUUCACACCCCUUCUCGUUCCUCGAAUGAACAUAUGGAAAUUCUUUCCCGUAGCAAUGGCCAGUCUUCACCAAGUUGAUGCGGAUUUAGCUCCAUUGCAACUCUAAAAUCAAGCAAAGACACUGAAUGUUGUUCUUGCGUUAUGUCAGAUGGUUGGUUGCUAGUUUGUAUGUGCAAACUAUUACUCGUCCGCACCCCAUUUACAAGCUCGUCUCGGCUCUGCUGUUUGUCUAAACUUUGUUUUCCAGGCGUUCCAUUCAUGGACCGAGCUCCAGCCAAAUCAACGCAUGAUUUCAUUAGUUUCUUCAGGUACAAGUCCAACAUGUUAUUUAAAACAGUAGAACACUCCGCGGAAACCCCUCCAAGACCCUGUGCUACUGCAAUAUUCUCCAUCCUCUUCCUCAGCAUCUCUGUGUCUGACAAUCCACCACUGUCAUAGCAACUGAUAGCAUCUGCGCUGGUCGAAAUUGGAACUGUUCUGCGAUCCCCACCGACACUAGCCGAGCAGAAUGGGAUCCCCAGAGGUGCAACUACAGGAGGCAUGGAAAGAAUCAAACUACCUCGCUCUUCUUGGGCUUCAUCAUCCCUGCUAAGAGGAGCUGCAACCUGACCUUUACCCGAAUCCCUCUUUUGUUCAGCAGGGCAAAGAAAUGCACUGUCUCUUUCAUCAGCAUAGCGACCUGAUCUUUGAUAAGCAAAAGGACCCGAAUCCCUGUUCUCCGUGUUACUAUUACCGGUUCUGUCAACCUUUCCGUUUGGCCCUAGUGGACAAGGCUUAUCUCUGAUUGUACUGUCACACGUUCCAAACCGAACGUUGGGUAACACCCCAUUUGAGCAAACAGGAUCAUUCCUACUAUGGUCAGGAAUUAGAGGUCCGCUUUGUUCAGGUCCAUCCUCUUUCCCAAGCACCAAAGAUUUGCCAGGGUGACCGGUUUGGUGACCUGGUGGUGGGGACUUAGCCAGAGACGCAUUUCUCAAGAUGGAACGAAUCAACUUGUUGUGUAGAGAAAGAUUCUCUCUCCCCAAAAGACGGAAACAUGACUUAUCAAACUCACUCUUAGUAAGCUUCUGACUCAGAAACCUGCCCAAAUAGUAAAAAUACCUUCUAGAUCUUUCAACCCCAAUCUUCUUCACUAUAUGCACUUUCAGGUCAGCUAGAUCAACCCUGGGAUCUUGAAGACGUUGCAUACUUGUUUCUUCUUCUUCUUCUUCUUCUAAAACCGAAACCAGAUGAAACAGUCAGAGGAGUGCACAAAAUGCACCCUCUCAGCUUCUAGUUAUCCUUCACACAAACAAACCCAACUCAUCAACGUAUUAUUUCUCAAACUCAAAUCCAAGAGCAUUUCAAGAACUCAGCUGCAGCUUUUAGUACAGGCCACUCCAAUUGCAUCCAAAAGCUCUUUCAUUUUCCCAAACGACCCAGAAUUCGUAAAUCUCAUGUUCCCAAAACCAAAACCCUAGAGAUCAUUAUCUACUAGCCAGCUUAUACCAAGAACCUUAAAAUUCAACCUCGGCUGAUUCAGUAUCAGAAUGGAUUAAAAACCCUAGCUUGGAGUCAGCAAAUCAAUCCAUCAAGAAGGAAGAACCACCAACUAACCGUUUCUCCAAGUUCACGAGCGAGUAAGAAGACGAAACUGAAUCAGAGCAGAAAAACCCAAGCAUUUUUUGCUUCACGCCCAAUUCGGAAGCUAAGAACUUGAGAAUUUCCGAAAUUUGAGUUGGAGAAAAUCGAGAUCAGUGGAGUUGGACAAAUGAUUGGAGCUUUGAGAACAGAGCACCAGAUUCGAAUUGCCUAAAGAAAAAGAUGAAAUUCGAAUUGAAGAAGGAGGAAGCGGGCAAUGAGAAGCGGGACCCAAGCUUGGAAGCAGAAAAACAAGUGUUGGAAGAUUGAUUUAGAGUAGGAAAGAUUUGACCAGAAUUCAGACACGAAAACAAAAUCGGAACAUAACAAGUAACUUCCCAGAGUUCCGACACCAACCCAAUGAUUUCUCGGCUCCUUAAUAAUAAUAAUACACUUCUGCUUCGAUUGAAUCUUGCUGGCUUCUUGUUUCGUAUUGCUGCUUUUCAGAUUUGAAUGUCCGAGCGCUUUCGCUCUUGUGUGUUUGUUUAUUAGCUUCGAUCGCUGCUUAUUGGGUUUUGUUGUUCGUUUUUCUUCACUUUUGUUUCUGUCUGUUUUUUUUUUUUUUUUUGUUUCUCUCUCUCUCACUCUCUGUCUUGAUAAAAUUUGGUUUAUUGGGUUUCUUCUUUUCGCUCGUUAUUGCUUUUGUACUUUCGACUAAAUCGAGUUUGAUGUAAGAAAUUCUGUAACAACAAUAGAUUAAACCCAUUUGAUUUAUUCAUCUUGCAAUGUUCUGAUCUGAGUGAUCUCAUCUAAUAUCGGAUCAUGUCAGAAUUUCUUUACUUGAUACAAGUGACAAUUUAUUUACAAGAUUAAAGAUGAGUGUUAGUACUUGAGAUUUCCCCCAAAUAUUAGGUGUUGGCUUUUUGGUCAAGUAAAAAGAUUUUAAAAUUUGGCGUUGAACAAAAGAAAAAGAGUUUCAAUAUGGAAUUUGCAAACUACAAAGCUUCGUCAGCUGGAACAAAACCAAGCUUCAAACUUACAACAUUAAACAUUAGAGAUUCAGACAAAUGAAAGAAAAAACAGAGACACAAUUCCACAUAACUCGACAAGACAUAUCCUCCUAACUCAAAUACUACAAGAAAACCUACAAAGAUUACCAAGUGACAAAGACCAAACACAAACAGAUGUGGGAUUCAAUCUAAAAGAGAUGUCACAUAAUCCUACCUCAUAAUACUCUCCUACUGCAUUGUGUUUGUUGUGUACAGCUCAUCUUACAGAGUUUAUUUGGCCCGUCCUUUGCCUCGACCUCCUCGGCCUCUUCCUCUCCCCCGCCCUCUUCCUCUUCUGCUGUAUGCCAAGACCUUCGUAGUUCCCGGGCUGCUACUUGCUGAGUUUGAGUUCGGUAGAGACUGGUCUCCUGGGAGCCACUCUUCUUCAUGAGUGCUUGAACUGUUAUGCGAGCCACUUGAGUGGCUGUCAUUGUUUUCGUUAUUAAUUGCACCAUCUGAGCCAUUCCCUACUGUCAUAUCAUCACCAUGAAUUUCAGCUACAGGCUGAGAAGCCUCGGUUUCUUCUGGUGGUGUGGGUUUUGGUUGACCUUCCACCACUGGUGAACUGAAAAAGUAAGGCUUUGCUUAGUAUGAAAUAAUAUCAUCAUGUCAAACUAGACAGACAAAUGAGGUGGAAGGUGAACUGAAAAAGUAAGGCUUUGCUUAGUAUGAAAUAAUGUCAUCAUGUCAAACUAGACAGACAAAUGAGUUGUUUUUUCACCUAGGUGAUGAAGAUGGGAAACCGUUAAAAGUAGCACGUGAUGCGCCUAUUUCAUCAGCUUCUUUUGAUGUUUCAAACACAUCUUUAGGGAUGCAAGAAGAGUUCCCAGUUGGAUCCAAAGUUGCCCCAAGAGCCAAGACAGCUGCAUUAAUAGGAACGCAAGUAAUUUAAGAGAACCCAACUAAACAUCAUCCAGCACCAAAGGAAUUCAACAUACCAUGUAUACCAUUUGUGGUGUUUCCGAUAGUAGAGCUAGGUUGGAUAAAAUCGCCAUCUUGAUCAUUGAAGUCAUCUACAGCGGUUCCACUGUCACAUACAGUUGAGAAACUUCAGAAGAUUGAUAUACUAAAAAAUGGAUCUGUCGAAAAGAAACAAGUUACAAUCUGUGUUGGAAGGAUAAGCACAAUAAAAAGAACCUUUGAGGAGCGGUAUUUGUAUCUUCAGACGGCUUGACUCCUUGUGUGGAGAUAAAUGUCUCGUCCAAACCAACUCCACCUAAUCAGAACACAUUAAAUUCAUGAGACAGAGUAUAAAAAUCGAAUAUUAGAGAGUGUAUACAAAUUAAGGAUUAAGGGAGAAACUAACAAGAUCUAGUAUGUAAAACUCCUGUUUCUCCGACGGCUAGAUUAGCUUCCGUAGUCUUCACUCAAGUAAAACACAUAAGGACACCAAAAAAAGAAAAGAUUGGAACUGCAAGUUUCUUCUUGGUAUAGAGAGACACAUAGUGUAAAGAGUGCUUGAUACCUGAUUGUGUUCAGAGGUAGGUAUGGCUGAAUUUGGUAGAGCUCUGCUUUGUUCAUACCGUACAGCUGAAAGAACAGAAAAAAAAGAGUUACUCAUGUGACCAGAGCCGAAAAUACUUUCAGUUUCAUCUCAUGUCUUACUGAAAAACUUCGACCACAUGUAAAUAAAGAAAGAAAAAAAUACCUCCAUCAGCAUUCAAAGACGAAGCAUUUCCUUUGAGCAUAUCAGUCGCUAAAACAUAGGGGCUGUAUUUAGGUUCCAAAGAGGCUACACUACUAGGACUUUUAAGCAUUUCCUCUGUUGCUUUAGCUCUGACUUUGCGAAUUUCAUCUUGAAUAUUCCAUGAUUGAUUAGAACCGGACUUCCUUUUCAGCUGCAUUUUGGUAUUAAAUGUCAGAAUGGAUAAGGGUAAAUUUGAGAGAGCCAUUCAAAAUACAUAAUGGUAUGCAACUUUUCUUUAGGAAAAGCUGGAAAUAGUGUCCCACAAAUUCCUCGUGGUUAUCUAACAUAAACAAUAGAAGUUAAGCAGAGAAUUUUAUCUUAUAAACCAAGGUAAAACAACUUCAGACUUUCAAACAACAUUUGACCAUAAGAAAAGUAUGCACUGCUGGAAAACUUAAAAUUCUAACCUUAGAUGAGGAAAAGUUUCCAGCGCUAUAAGGAAAGGGUGUCCCUUGCAUUCCUGCUGAUGAUGGUGAUCGAAACUCUGCUGGAGAUCCCCAUGGCAGACGAGCUCGCAUGUAAGACUUGGCCACGUCCACAGGCGAUCCAGCACCAUCUUCAGUUGCCUAGAGAAUUAAACUAAUGGCUGAGAUGGUGAUCAUCAUUUAAAGCACAAUGGAAAAGAAACACAUAUGGCGGAAUAAUGUGAAGCAAAGCUAUCAGAAGUUGACCGAAAUCAUGUGAGCAAAUGGUCUUCAUAGUAAAAAAAAAAGAGCAACAAUAUGGAUCUUUUGCAUUUUAAGCGGACAAAAAAGUAGUUUCCAAUCAGGACAUUUCAGGAUUAAUGUCACCAGAUGGCCACACUCAAAAUUCUAAACAACCUACUUUUGCAAGAGAGCUUUACGUUGCUGAUCACAUGGAGUGGCAUAGAACAAUAAAAUCAUUUUACACAAACAGAAGAUGUCUCCUUCUAUAAUAACAAUGGCUUAGAGCACAGAGACAGAUAUCACAAAAAAGUACAAACCUGCAGGCUGCAGCAAUAUGGAACAGUUAAGAAGAGUUAGAACUUACUGUAUACUUUGAACUUGAUCCUGAUUUCUUUUCCUCCAACCAUUUUCUUGCUUCCAUGACAGUUGUAUUGGACAUUUCACCAACAUUCACAUCUAGAAAUAGAACAGAAAAGACGUUAUCACAUUGACUAAUCCGGUCUGCUUGCACAGUCUACCAUCAGUUACAUACCACUUGUCAAUCCAUUGUCAUUAUGCCUCCCCUCAACAGCAGAGGGGACACUAGGAUGAUCGACAACCCUAGCCUUGAUGAUAUCUAUUAAUCUAUCACCCUCUUCCCUGGAACAACAUACACAUGAAUGAAUAAGCAGGAUACAAGAUCAGCUUAGAUUUGUUAACUAAACAAAUAUCACAAAGAUUCUUUUAAGCUAAGAGCUGUAAAUAUUAAAUAAUAAGACUCGCGGAAGAGGCUGCAACUUAUGAUGUCCAGAAAGCCAGACAUAGAGAAAUACCUUGCAAAUGUUUCUUGCAUGAGAAGCUGCUCAAUUACACGCUUAGAACUGAGUCGUUGGAUGGUUGGUUGCUGGGCAGUCAGAAGGUCCUAUUCACACAAGCACACAUCAAAUUCACUCCACAAGUUCACAUAAACUGAAAUCAUGCUUUCAUCAAAAAACUUUUAGUUGAAAACGUGUUAGAACUUUACUUCUACAAAAUCAGGAUCACAUUACAAUUCAUACACAUACUAAAAAGGCGAAAGGUGACUCAGUACAAAACUAGCAGAAAAAUAAUCAAUCUUUAGCAACACCAUAAUCCACUGCGGCUACAGAGCAGAAUCAAUCAUAAGAAUAAUGAAUUCAAACAAAUAUCUAGAACUACAGUGGCAGAGCAAUCACCAAAACGAACAAGGUGGUUAGUACCUCUUCAGUAAAAUCGGUAAUGGUCUUCUCAACAUCCUCAUCACCAUCAAUAUCUGCACACAAAGAGGUUAACAUGUAAAAAUCCGUACUUUAAAAGAAUAAGACACAAAGCUGGUCGGGUCGGUUCUAUUAAUUCCAGAACUACUUCAUAUGCAAACCAAGGAAGAGAACGGGUCGACCUAAUCCCAGAACUACAUUAUAUGCAUAAAAAUUAGAGCUUUAGAAUUAGUAUGAAGGUUAUAGCUUUAGAAGUAACCUAACUAAAUAGAGUAGAGUAGUAAUUCACCACUGCUUAACUGCUAUUAAGUCCCACAUAUCAAAGGAAAGAGAAAAUGGGAAAGCUUUAAAUCAAAAUUCACAUUUCAAAUGAAACGGUAGGUUUCAGAUUCGAACAGAUAAUAAACCAAAAAUUCAAAUGAAUCAUAUCUAAACCCAAAUAAAUUGUACAAACCUGAAGAUGAAUCCUCGUCCUCCUCCGAAGACGAGGAAGAGUCGGAGAAGACGACGGAAGAAAUGAAUUUUCCGGCGCCGGAGGCAAUUACGCUGGCGGGUUUGUAAACGAGCCUGGAGAUCCAACUAGGGUUUUGCUGAGGAGGAUCUCGGGAUCUCGGAACGGGGCGGUCAUACGGCGUCCUGACGGCGGCGGUGCGUCGUGGUCGAACAAUUUUUCCUCCGGUACGAGGCUGACCUACUCCGGCGGGGUAACCGGAGACGGAAUCCAUGGUGAAAGUGAGAGGAGGAGGAGGGAGAAGUUCGUUGAAGGAAAUAAUGAAGUGUUGGGGAAAAUUGGUAAUUUCUCGUUAUUUGUCGUCUUCUUGUUUUUUUUUUUAAUUGGGGGUGAAAGGUUAGUUUCCUAAAUUACAGGCCUGCGGUUAAAAUUUGCUUCCACCAAUAAAAUUAGGCAAAAAAACAAAACAUUCCGACUAUAAAAAAAAAUUAACUGUAGUGUAUAAUCAUGUAUUAUAUAUUCAUUUGUUUUCAUAUUUUGAAAUUUGAACAAUGUACAUGACGUAGAAAAAAGAAAAAAAUAAGAGAGAGAUUAUAAUUUGGAAAAAAAAGUCAUGAUAGAACGAAGUAAUUAAUAAAGUUGUAAAAAGUUAUUUCAAAAAUAAUAUUUAAACAAUUUAAAUUAAAAUUUGGUUUUUAGUUUAUUUUUAUUUGCACCGAAUGGUACUUACUGUAAUUCGUCAACUACUGUAUGUCAGUGUUAAAAAAAGCUAAAAUAAUGGGCCCAAUGGGCUAUAUUAAUAUCGGGUCAAGGACGGGUCAGAAACAACCCGAUCGGAUCUAAAAUGGGCGCCUUCUUUUUCAUUUUGAUGGCAAUCAAUCAAUCGACGCUUCUUUAGAGACAAACGCAAUCGCCGAUCCAUUUACGAGCCGUCGUCGCUUUACACAUAUCAACAAUCCUUAUCCUCCAGUUUCCAUUUCUAGAUCGAUCGAGAUUGAAGGAGAGAAGAUGCCUGGUUUAACAUGUAACGCGUGUAACAUGGAGUUCAAGGACGAAGAAGAGCGUAACCUUCAUUACAAAUCCGAUUGGCACCGCUACAAUCUCAAGCGCAAGGUCAAUUUUCUGCUGUUUUCUCUAACCCAAUUUGACCUCAGACUAUUUUUGUAUACUUUUUCCAUUUUGCUGUCGAAAUGAUUUGUUUUAAGGUUAUAGAAUCGUUCUCUUGCAGGGGAAGAAAGUCUCUAGAUUUUAUAUGAAAUCUUGAUUUGAAGCUUAUCAUAGAUUUGGUUUCUUGUACGCAUUUGAAUCUUUUUGUAUUUAUGGAAUUUUUGUUGUUAGGUGGCUGGAGUUCCUGGAGUUACAGAAGCCUUGUUUGAGGCUAGACAAUCUGCUCUUGCUCUGGAGAAGAAUAAAUCAAAUGAAGCUCCUAUGCUUUAUACUUGUGGAAUCUGUGGUAAAGGUUACAGGAGUUCCAAGGCUCAUGAGCAGCAUCUUCAGUCCCGGAGCCAUGUUUUGCGGGUUUCACAAGGCCCAUCAAUCAACGGAGAGGAGGAUAUAGCGAUUAUCAGGCAACUUCCUCGCCGUGUUCAACACAGGGGUUCCAUUGAUGAUGAUAGUGAAGAUGAAUGGGUGGAGGUUGAUUCUGACGACGAAUUGGCUGCUGAAGAAGCCUCACAUUCGUUGUCUAAGUUGAAUGUGAUUGAGUCAGGAUCUGCUGAAGAUAUGGAUGAUGAUGGUGAUGCAGACAAGUAUGAGCUGGACCCAACCUGCUGUUUGAUGUGUGACAAAACCCAUAAGACCUUAGAGAGCUGUAUGGUUCACAUGCAUAAGCACCAUGGUUUCUUCAUUCCCGAUAUCGAGUAUCUCAAGGAUCCUGAAGGGCUUCUCACUUACCUCGGUCUCAAGGUUUGGACUCAUCAAUUUACCAUUCACUGUUCGUUGUUGUCAAGCUUUCAAUUUCUUACUCCUAUUUACUUAUACAUGGCUCAUCACUCAGGUCAAGAGAGACUUCAUGUGUCUAUACUGCAAUGAGCUGUGCCGUCCAUUCAGCAGCUUAGAAGCUGUAAGAAAGCAUAUGGAAGCAAAGAGUCAUUGCAAACUGCAUUAUGGUGAUGGUGAUGAUGAUGAAGAUGCUGAACUAGAAGAGUUCUAUGACUACAGCAGCAGGUUUCAACUCUCUUGUAUCUUUGAUUUUUCUUGUUCUCACCUCUAUUCCUCUUUCUAUGCCAAAUCUUAAUGCACCUUCCAUUGGAAUCUAUGAAUUGAGCAGCUAUGUUGAUGAAGCUGGGAAGCAGAUUGUUGUAGCUGGUGAAACAGACAACACUGUAGAACUUGUUGGGGGUUCUGAGCUCCUGAUCACGGAGAAUUCCGAGAACACAAAAACGUCUAAAACUCUCGGGUCCCGUGAAUUCAUGCGUUACUACAGACAGAAGCCACACCCAACUUCUCAAAACAGCAGCCAGAUAAUGUCCUCUUUAUCUUCAAGGUUUGUUUUCUCCAAACCCAUUAGUCAUCCAAACCUAUUAAACUAGCGAAUCGGCAAGUUAAUUUAAGGUUAUUCUCACAAAUGGCAAAUUCUCAGGUACAAGAGUCUGGGUCUGAAGACGGUACCGUCAAAAGAGGAGACAUUGAGGAUGAAAGUGCGCAAGGAGAUGAGUCAGAGAGGUGAGACAAUGCGUACCAAGAUCGGAGUGAAGAGUAAUGUCAUCAGAAACUUGCCCAAUAAUGUCCCAUAUUAGUUUCUGUCUAUUGUCUAGUGUUGGAUUGAAUGAUGAUUUCAUGUACUUUGAGUCUUUGACCAAGUUGUGUUGGUACUUUGGUAAUAAGAGUUAGCUUUAAACAGAGUAUGUUCACUGAAAUAGAAAAUGUUAAAAUUGCUACACGAACGUUGACUUCUGAUUUACUCUCAAUAUCUACAUUGUUCAGAGAUGCAUGUAAAACAAAGAAGAGACCACGACAAAGGGUACUACAAUAUCCCAAAAAGGCUUUUAGUUUUGUUUUUGUACAAAGGCUGUGGCUGCGAGUAAUGUCACAAGACAAACCUAAAAUAAAUUUAUGUGUAGAAGGAAAAAGAAGAGAGAGAGGUCCAAAACCAAGAACACUGGCUACGAAUAGGUUGGUCUGCUUCAUUCGCUUCGCUUCAUUUUCCAGCUGACUGAGAAAGAAAAGAAACAUAAGAGAUCCACAAGAAGAUAGUACCAAAAGCAUAGAAACAGAAAGUUAAUUACCUAAUUUUCAUAGAAGCGGGUUCGACGCCUUCUUGAACUGCAAACCAGAAAAAAUAUGGCAUCAAGCAAUGUUUCUUAAGUAACCAUCAUAUAUAGCACAAUAAAGCUACUAAACCAGGUCAACACCCUGAGCCACUAUGCCAGAGAUAUCACACAAUAGGACCUGAUUUCGUCAUUUAACCUGGCUCACCGGUAAGCCUCUAAUAUCAAUGCAGAAUAAUCAUAUACUAUGAAACUAAGAAUGUACAUCUCUGCAGAACGAAACAGUAACAAAUUAGUGGUGUAAAGCAAUAGAUGGUUCUGACCUUUGGUGCAUAGAGCUACUUCUGUUAGCUCCACUUGUGCUGAUGAACUCAUCAUCGAUCUCAUCUACUCUAUACUCCGGGAACUCUAUGGAUGCUACUGAGCUGUCAUCAGAGUUGGAGUUUUCAUAGCUAGAGCGGCGACUCCCUCUCCUGCUCUCGCUCAUUCUUGAUCUUCUUCGAUUCCUGGCAUUCCUUAUAUUGUCAAACAUUUGGUACAGAAUACAAGAGGUCCACCAGUUUCCUUCAUUGUUAGGAACAUCCUCAAAUUCAUCUCCAGUGUCAUCAUCUCCAUAUUCGAUCACAUAGUCCCCUAAAACCACUCCUCUUGGAACUUCGGAGUGAAUUGUGCUCAACACGUCGAUUAUUUCAGACGACUGCUGGAAAUUCUCCCAAUCAAGCUUCCGUGCUGGAUCAAUUUCUGAAGGACGAGAAUCCGGAUGCUCUGACUGAGCAUGUUUGCGAAGCUCCAAGUAAGUACCCAUAAACCUGCAUCUUUCUUCCUCACAGCAACGUUUUUUCUCAUCAAGACGGACACGGGCUUCUUCUACAACAAGCCAGCCAGUAACUUCUCCUCUACACAGUGGACAAACGGGUUUGCAACUCUCUUCUAGAACCUUAGAGCGAGGUUCAUCAGGGGCUGGAGGUGAAUCAGUACCACAGGCGCUAAUGAAACGAUCCAAACAGUUAGAGUGAAGGUGAUCAGUAUUGCAGACAAAAGCACGGCAGCCGUUUUCGUAAGAAGAACACUGGAGAAGCACACCAUUGUGAGGGAAAUCCAAACAAAUGGGACAAGUUAAAUCAUCCCAAUUGAGAGUCAACUGAAACUCUUGGCUACAAAAGGUCUUAGCUUGAAGCCGCUUUUCACAAACAUGUAGUUCCAGAGCCAUAAGAUCCGCAAAGGAAACAGAUUAUUCCAACUUAUCGGGAAGGAACUAAGUAUCUAUAAUCAGCAACCCUUGAUGGAAGAAAUCAUUUCCCCGGAAUCUGUUACUUGAUAGUAGCUGCAUAUAUGCAUGUAAAUAAGUAUCCACAAUCUUAAAUCUGCUGCAAAAAUAUGAAUGUAAAAAGACAAUUCGAUAAAUGAUAAAACCCCAAAACCAAUACGAUUCAGUCGCUGGUGAAACACGAAGAACCCAAAAGAGAGUGAGAAUCGGAUUCAAAAUCAAACAAUUUUUAGAAAACCGAUCGCAUAAUCAAGAGCAGAAGAACCCUAGCCAAAUUAGAAACGACAGAUCCAAAUCACCGAAUUGGUAAGCAGUAAGCAAACGAAAUCGAAGAAAAAGAGAACGAAAUCGAAGAAGCUGACCUGAGAUUGAAAGUUACAAAGGAAGUGGAAGAAGGGCGAUGAUGGGGUUUGCUUGUGGGGAUAGUGUAUCGCAGUUGGUAGCCUCCUUUUUCUCUCUCUCUCCUACUCUCUCUCAAUCCCCAUAUCCAUUUUUACCUUUUCAAUACAUUAUUAGAGCUAUUUUUAAUAUCAUUAAUAUUAUUAUCUAAAAUAUUAUGUGACGACUUUUUACUUUCGAGUUUCAAGUAAUAAAAUAUGCUACAGGUUAGUCUUUCAAAAAAAGUACAUAUAAGGUCCGAAUGGUAACCGCGGUUUUUGUUGUGCGGAGAAAGCGGUAUGACAGUGCGGUACGGUUCAACUGCGGUACGUGCGGUAUGCGGAACAAAUGCGGUUUUUGUAAAUAAGCGGUACGAAAUAAUGUUUGAUUGGUAAAAAACAAAAAGCGGUGCGGGAUAUACAUUGUAGUUAAAUAAUUUUAAUUAAACAUUCAAAUAUGUAUAUAUAUAUAUAUAUAUAUAUUAAAUAAAAAAUUUCAUAAUAAACAAUAUGAUACAACAGAAAAAUAUUUUUCGAAUAUUUUUUAACUAAUUAUUUAAAUACAUGUGGUUUUUUAUAAAUAUUUUAAGUAUUUAAACAUAAUUUAAAUAAAUAUGGUGAUACAAUUAUAUAUCAUAUAUUUGAAAAAACCAAUAUGACAAAGAAAUAAAACAAACCAAAAAUAACAUGUAUAAUUAAAUAAAUGGUUAAUACAAGUUCUAUUUUUUAAAUUACACAUAUCUCUAUAGACUGUAGAUACCACAUAACGCAAACACAUCAAAUAGGAUGUGAAUUUACUGUAGCGGGCCAACUACAAUAUUUACAAACAAAAUUGAACCGCACUCACAACCCAAAAAAUAAAAAGAAACGUCCCGCACUUGUAAUAUUUUGUUGAUUGGUAACAUAUCAAUGGGUCCCAUGAAAAACGUCCCGCAGUUCUGAAAUCCGCCGUCUCCAUUCACCCCCUAAAUUUGAAUAUUUGAUUUGCAGCUGAUGACUGGAAAAUAUUUUAUUGUGAUUUAUGAGAAGAAAAUUUCCUACAUCUGAUUUAUAAACUUUUGUUUGUGGUUUAUUUAAUAGGGUUUGUUAGAAUUAUUUGAGCUAUAAUUUUCAAUUCUAUAUCGAGUAAAAAUGAUUUUACUUUAUAUUUGUUAACUAUUGUCUGAGUAACAAAUAUUUUGAUUUAGGAAAUAAAUCAACAAAUUCAUCUUGCAAGCUUUGACUAGUUUUUAUUGUUUUUCUUAUGCUUUUUUUUUUAAUUGGUUUGCUUGAAUAUCAAAUUAUCGAAAUUAAGCAAAACUUCUUUUUUUCCACUUUCUUAUUAAACUCGUUAAAAUAAAAAUAAUAAUAAAUUUUUGACAAACAAAAGAAGAUUGGAAUUAAAAAUUCUAAGUUUGUUGUAUUUGACAGUUAUUUCUUAGUGGAGUAAUAAUUCCCAAAAACAAACAAAAGAUAAAGGGUAAAAACGAUCGCUAAAAUAGGGUCCGGGUAACCAGCCCAUUAAUUCAAAUUGGGCUUAACUUAAGGCCCACGUGAAAUAAAUGGAAACUAGAAAAAAGGAAAGUUAUGUUAACUAAAAAAAGGAAACUAGGCGUUACAAAAAAAAAAAAGGAAAUCAGCCAGCUGGCACCGCCGUGAGUAGUGUUUUAUAAAAAGGGGAAAGCUUAUCAGAGAGAGUCAGAAUUUGUUUUGCCUUCUUCUUUCUCUGUUUGUCAUAUUUCUCUCGAUCGCUAUAUCAUAACAUCAUAACGGAAGACGAUUUGUAGAAUGUAAGAAUUCUUCCGAUUCUCUUGAUUUCUAGGGUUGUUUUAUAUUUUAACUAUUAAUCAGUUCUUUCUCUGUUUCGCAUGUUUCUCUCUAUCGGAUCAUUCAUGAUCGAAGAAGUUUUGUAGCGAUAAUCACUGUAAGAAUUCUUCUCUCUUGAUUUCUAGGGUUACUAAACUUCAUUAUUAUCAGUUUUUUUUUUUUGUUCUGUUCUUUUGGUUUUCUGUUCGUUUUGAAGCGGCUUGGAUAAUUUGAAAACCAAACGAAUCGCGACUCUGCGUUUCAAAGUUUUCUGAGAAUUAUUACAAGUUCGUUCUUCUUCUUUUUUUGUGUUACUUGAUUCUGUUUAAGAGGGUUUGGUUUCCGUUUUUUGUUUUGCUUUUGUAGCGCUUUCGAUACUUUGAUAAAGCGUGAAAUUGUUGCGAUCGGUUGUGGUUUAUUGCUCUGCGUUUUUCUGUUUUGUUUUUGUUAGAUUUCUUCCUUGUUUUGUUUUUUUUUCAAAAUCCAAGAGAGAUCAUAUGCAGACACUCAACUAUUAGUGUUCUGUCAGAUUCUUUCUUGGGGACAUUGUCCCGUCGAGUUGGCUUAUGAGGGAUUUUUGACCUGAGACUGAAAACCGAUCCUUUACCCACGGCUUAUUAUUUUGACAAAUAUACUUGGGAUUGGUUUCAGGUUACUGGUCAAAGAUCAAGUUACCCACGGCUUAAAAAAGUCUUUAGACAGAGACUUGAGUUUCCAAAAAACCAAUCCUUUAGACAAAACACUGGAUUGGGUUAUGUUUGGUGCAAGGAAAAUGGUACCAUACGGCUUAAAACUUUAGCCUUUAGACUGAGACUUGAGACUGAACAUUGAUCCUUCUUGGUACCCACGGCUUGAAAAUCUCUAGACAUAUGGAUCAUGUUCGGUUUCUUGUUUCAGUCUAUAGACAAAGAAAUAGUUACCCACGGCUUAAAAAAAGUCUUUAGACAGAGACUUGAGGUUCUAAAAACCAAUCCUUUCGACACAAGAUUGGAUUGGGUUAUGUUUGGUGGAAUGAAAAUGGUACCCACGGCUUCAAACUUUAGUCUUUAGACUGAGACUGAUUCUGAACUUUGAUCCCUUCUUGGUACCCACGGCUUUAAAAUCUUUAGACAUAUGGAUCAUGUUUGGUUUCUUGUUUCAGUCUUUAGACAAAGAACAGUUACCCACGGCUUAAAAAGUCUUUAGACAGAGACUUGAGGUUCUAAAAACCAAUCCUUUAGCCAAAAGAUUGGAUUGGGUUAUGUUUGGUGGGAUGAAAAUGGUACCCACGGCUUCAAAAUUUAGUCUUUAGACUGAGACUGAUUCUGAACACUGAUCCUUCUUGGUACCCACGGCUUGAAAAUCUCUAGACAAUAUGGAUCAUGUUCGGUUUCUUUUUUCAGUCUUUAGACAAAAAAAUAGUUACCCACGGCUUAAAAAUUGUCUUUAGACAGAGACUUGAGGUUCUAAAAACCAAUCCUUUAGACACAAGAUUGGAUUGGGUUAUGUUUGGUGGAAGGAAAAUGGUACCCACGGCUUCAAACUUUUGUCUUUAGACUGAGACUGAUUCUGAACUUUGAUCCCUUCUUGGUACCCACGGCUUGAAAAUCUUUAGACAUAUGGAUCAUGUUUGGUUUCUUGUUUCAGUCUUUAGACAAAGAACAGUUACCCACGGCUUAAAAAAGUCUUUAGACAGAGACUUAAGGUUCUAAAAACCAAUCCUUUAGCCAAAAGAUUGGAUUGGGUUAUGUUUGGUGGAAGGAAAAUGGUACCCACGGCUUCAAACAUAAGUCUUUAGACUGAGACUGAUUCUGAACAUUGAUCCUUCUUGGUACCCACGGCUUGAAAAUCUCUAGACAUAUGGAUCAUGUUCGGUUUCUUUUUUCAGUCUUUAGACAAAGAAACAGUUACCCACGGCUUAAAAAAGUCUUUAGACAGAGACUUAAGGUUCUAAAAACCAGUCCUUUAGACACAAGAUUGGAUUGGGAUAUGUUUGGUGGAAGGAAAAUGGUACCCACGGCUUCAAACUUUUGUCUUUAGACUGAGACUUAUUCUGAACAUUGAUCCCUUCUUGGUACCCACGGCUUGAAAUGUUUUAGACAUAUGGAUCAUGUUCGGUUUCUUGUUUCAGUCUUUAGACAAACAUCAAGUUACCCAUGGCUUAAAAAAGUCUUUAGACAGAGACUUGAGGUUCUAAAAACCAAUCCUUUAGACAAAAGAUUGGAUUGGAUCAUGUUUGGUUAAAGGAAAAUGGUACCCACGGCUUCAAACUUUAAUCUUUAGACUGAGACUGAGACUGAACAUUGAUCCUCCUUGGUACCCACGGCUUUAAAAUCACUAGACAUAUGGAUCAUGUUCGGUUUCUUGUUUCAGUCUUUAGACAACAGUUACACACGGCUUUAAAAAUGACGUCUUUAGACAGAGACUUGAGGGACAAAACACUGGAUUGGGUUAUGUUUGGUGCUAGGAAAAUGGUACCAUACGGCUUAAAACUUUAAGUCUUUAGACUGAGACUUGAGACUGAACAUUGAUCCUUCUUCGUACCCACGGCUUGAAAAUCACUAGACAUAUGGAUCAUGUUUGGUUUCUUGUUUCAGUCUUUAGAUAAAGAAACACCCACGGCUUAAAACAUUAUAAGUCUUUAGACAGAGACUUAUAAUUUUAAACAAUGGAAACUUGUAUAAUAAAUAUACAAGACGAUGUUAAUCUAACCGGAUUUUGGAUCCCGUCAUUGAUCGUUAGCGAUUCCACAAAUUCAACUUGUUUUCACAUCCUUAUGUAGAUUUAGCAUACAAGUUUCUGUUGAAAAAAAUAAAUACAAGAUUCUUAUGUUGGUUGAUGGAAAAUGGUACCCACAGCUUCAAACUUUGGACUGAGACUUGAGACUGAACAUUGAUCCUUCUUGGUACCCACGGCUUGAAAAUUUAUAGACAUAUGGAACAUGUUUGGUUUCUUUUUUCAGUCUUUAGAGUUUAGAGCAUCCACAAUGGUGCAUGUGGGAGUAUGGGUGUGAGUGGUGAUUUAUUAAUAAAAUAAUGUAAGGGUGUGAAGAUUGAGUGCUGAUUUAUUAAUAAAAUAAUGUGGGAGUAUGGGUGUGAGUGGUGAUUUUUCUAUGUCAAAAAAUCGGAACCAACAAAACAAAGACACAUGUCCCUCACAACCGAGUGUAAACUAACACUCGAAUACCAACUCCAAACUUACUGUUCUCUUAUUUGUGUAUAUUUUAAUAGUCACACCCACACAAAAAAUAGAUCGUUGUGUAUGGUCUUAGAGAAAGAAACAGUUACCUACGGAUUAAAAAAGUCUUUAGACAAAGACUUGAGGUUCGAAAUAACCAAUCCUUUAGACAAAAGAUUGGAUUGGGUUAUGUUUGGUUGAAGGGAAAUGGUACCCACGGCUUCAAACUUUAGUCUUUACUCUGAGGCUUGAGAUUCGAACAUUGAUCCUUCUUGGUACCCACGGCUUGAAAAUCUGUAGACAUAUGGAUCAUCUUCGGUUUAUUUUUUCAGUCUUUAGACAAAGAAAUAGUUACCCACGACUUAAAAAAGUCUUUAGGCAGAGACUUAAGGUUCUAAAAACCAAUCCUUUAGACACAAGAUUGGAUUGGGUUAUGUUUGGUGGAAGGAAAAUGGUACCCACGGCUUCAAACUUGGAAAAUGGUACCCACGGCUUCAAACUUUUGUCUUUAGACUGAGACUUAUUCUGAACAUUGAUCCCUUCUUGGUACCCACGGCUUGAAAUUUUUUAGACAUAUGGAUCAUGUUCGGUUUCUUGUUUCAGUCUUUAGACAAACAUCAAGUGACCCAUGGCUUAAAAAAGUCUUUAGACAGAGACUUGAGGUUCGAAAAAAGCAACCUUUAGACAAAAGAUUGGAUUGAGUUGUGUUUAGUGGAAUGAAAAUGAUACCCACGGCUUGAUCUACAAGAUGAUGUUAAACUAACCGGAUUUUGGAUCCUGUCAUUGAUCGUUAGCGAUUCCACAAAUUCAACUUGUUUUUGCAUCGUUACGUAGAUUUAGCAUACAAGAAUCCAUUGAAAACAAAAAACAUACAAGUUUCUUAUAUUUUAAGAAAAGAGUUCCAAUUUGUUUCCAUACGUUUAGUUACGAAGCUUGUAAAAGGGUUCGUAGAUGUGUGGAUUAGUGUACAAUUUGUAUGAAUACAUGGUUCAAUUUUUAAGAUUAGAAAGAUCAGUUAGGAUCAAAGGAAGAUUAAAGGGGAUAAUGGAAGAUUCAAGAUUGAAAGCAGAAAAGGAGAGGUCAAUCAAAAUAAAAGAAUAUAUGUUGCUCUUUUUGUUUGUUAUGGGAUCAGCCAAUCAAUAUUUCACCCACUUGCUAAUAUGUAAAAGACAGACAAAAAGAGUAACAGUGAAGAUGAUGGUUGUGAUGUAAUGAAAUCUAUGCCGUUUAAGAAAAGAGAGUAUCAAUUAGCUGAGCUUUGUAAACUAAGAAUGAACAAGUUCCAAAAUAAUUAGAUCCAAAAGAUCUUCCAAUGGAGCUUGGUUGUGAAAAUGCUAACUGAGAUUUCUCCAACAUGCACCCAUUGUUGCAAAAGCUUUCCCUGCGAUUUUAUACAAACAUACAAACAAAAUGUCACCAUAAUGUAUGAAUGUUUGUUCACCACGACAAUGGUUUUAGGUUCUUUACCUCGUGGUAUCGAGUAACCAUGUGGCUAUGCCUUUUCUUCUGUUAGAAGGUGAGACCCAAAUCGCUCUAAUCCCACAAACAGCCGGUUUAGCUUCUUCCUCGCAUACUAUUGCUCCGCAGUCUAAUCUAUCAUCUGAUGCUCGACAUCUUUUAGAUACUUCUCUUUGUAACACAAUGUUUCCAAACUGAAUGGAGGUUGAAGGCGAGGAGGUGCUCUCUUUUUGUAACUGUCUUUCAUCAUCAGGAGAAGGUAUGAGCUUAAAUGCUUCCUUAAUUGGUUCUGCAACUAGACAUCCAGAGAUCCUCUGAGAGGAUAUGAAUAGAUAAACCUACACAUAACAAGGUAGUUCUUGAAAUAACUGAGGAAAGUAAUUACAGGUUAUAUCAUCUUUCUUGUGAAUUUGUUGAAUGAUGCCAUAUAAAGAAAUUAAAGAAACUCCUCUUUUCAGGGAAUCAGAUUUCUUGUUUGAUUUCAAUGCUAGUCAUAGACAUGGAAGGAAUCAGACUAAGUCGAAGUUUUCCUCUUUUAAGUUGACCAUAGUAGAGCAAGUAUUCACCAUGCUUCCCAACAAGUUGUAUCAAAUGCCAAUUGGCUCAAUAUAGUAGACAUCAACAUACUAAAAAACACUCAUGAGCUAUGGAAUAUAUCCGCAAAUGACUGUUAAGACGUGGAAACAGGCUCAUACCUUACAAUGUUGGUGAAGAAUCCAAUCCUCACCUAACUCGACUUCCAUCAUUUUCACAACCUCUUGCACCUGCAAUUACAAAAGAUCCAUCGUUUAGGUCCUCUAAACGAAGAACCGGUACCAUAAACAGGGCAAGUUGAAUUGUGAAAAGAAUGGACCUUGUUUCUAUGUGCAGGGGAAUCAUUUUCUGAAACCAUAAUGAUGCGGUUCUUGUUGAACGAAGGCGAUGUGAACGCUUUCUCGUUCUGCCAACCCUGAGACCAAUUCAAAAAAAACAACAAUCAAUCUAAUAACCUCUACAAUAAUCAAAGAAACAGCUAUCUUCUUGAGCUUAAAAUGGGAUCCUAACCUUAAAAGGGAGUCCAUACAUAUAGUCCUUGUGAAAACUUUGAUGGUUCUUCUCGUCUAAUUCAUCUCCAGGAGCAUACUUAGCUCCACAUUGUGGGCAAUGUCUGAGAAGAAAAUCAGAUUGGCCCAACUCUAAGUGGAAUUGCGUAUAAUUGCGCUUCUUUUUGAGAUUUUUAGGUACAGAGGAAGAUCCUUUCUUCAGUGGCUUCCCGAUGCAUCCUUUAAGCACUUGACUUCUGAAUACCCAAAAAUAAGUGACACACAAACAGAAACCCAAUUAAUAAUGGCUGCAAGAUUAAAUCAAAGGGAUUUGCUUUAAGAAAACCCAGAAAAUCAGGGUCGCUUAUUUUCGAUUCAUCUGAAGAAAACAAAUAAUGUAGAAAUUCUCGAAGAACCUAAAGAGAAGAAAAACCGCCAAAGAUGAUCGAUUUACCUAUCGGGAAUCGCAGAUCGACGCUGGUAGGUGUUGACGAUGGCGUUCCGAUUGUUCUCCCAGACAGCUAAACCAUCGUCUGCGUCUGUUGUUACUGAGGCAGCGAUAGAAGAAGAAGAGGGCUUGAAGAAAGAAUUGAUUUUUGCUUGCAUCGUACAGAGAGAGCUCGAAUCCUUCUUAGGUCUGUGUUUGUUUUCCCCUUUACUUCUCUGAUUUUGGCGCCUAUGGAUUGAAUUUUUUGGCGCUAAUGAAAUUUUUUUGUUUUUUGCCGAUUCCUACCUAAACUUAUGUAAACCAAAGAAACCAGAAAAUGACAUUGGAUAAUUGAUGGGCCAUUUUGUGUAAUUGCAUAACUCAAGAUCAUUCCAAUUUAGUUCCAACGCCAUAAGUGGAAAAAUACGGCAUGUGAGGCCAGGAGACAAUUCAUUCGAGUCCAGAUUGUGAAUCAGUGUUGUGUUGUGAGAACAUUACAGCUUUGAUUUGAUGACGUCGAUUGAUGUUUGGAUAUCCAACUACAUUAGACAACGUCCAAAAUAAAAAAGAGCAGCAAGUGAAGUAUAGUUUGUGUGUGUUUUUUAUAUAAUUACAUGUAUGGAUUGGUGUAUAACAACAAUGUGUGCAUCGAUAUUAAUCUACGCUUUUCUUCUCCAUCUACUCCCUGUACUAUAUUUACCUCUUUCCUCUUCAAAAAGAGCCAAAAAAAGUAAGUGAGAAGCCGAUUCAUCAUCUGUCUGAUAACACCGAGUUGCUCCAUGACAACACAAAAUCUCGGAAAACAUUCGGUAAAUCUGCAUUCAAAACACAAGGAACCAAAUUCUUCAGAAUCAUACAAAACUACUUGCUAACUGCUAGCUAAAUCAAUGGCCCAAGGUGAAAUUUUUGCCCAUCGGUGCUUUCAUGUCUUGUUAUGUUAAGAAUGCAUAUCUGUGAUAGUCUUUUCUCUCCACAAGGCUUUAUUUGGUGCAAAAGCUUUUAUUAUUUGAAUGAUAGAUGAAGACAAAAUUAAAAGAAAGAAAGCAAAAUGGGGUUUUCCCUUUCUAUUACCUCGCACGACUUCCAUGGCCAGUGUGGGAAUAUCUACUUCGUCUUCAACCAAUCUGUAUACGUCCACAAGCUGAAAGAACAAAUGUAAAGUUAGUGCUUUAGAGUGUCAAUGGGGAUGAUAAGUGCUACAGAUAUAAAUCUGGUUGACGUGAGAUGUAUGAACAAACCUCUUCUACGUGAAGCUUCGAGUCCUCUGUGAGCGCAAGAAUAAGUUUCCUGCGGAUGCCUUCGUCAAGGAGGAAAAGACGAGCUCCGUCCUUAAUGGUAUCUGUCAAGUCAAGCUUACUCUCCCUGAAAGUUUCAUGAGUAAAAUACGGAUUUAGAAUUCAAGCUUCCCAGGGUGAACGAGUGAGAGAUUUUGGGAGCAAUGCUUAUAUAGAACUCGGUUACUUACACACGCUUUACUCGUAGAUUAGGAUUGCUACUCAUUUUGGCAACGUUUUCCUUUGCAAGUGAUAAAAGGUUUUCCAGCCUUUUCCAUUGGAAAACACCAUCUUUGAAUAGAACCUGAAAUGCGGUGGCAACAAGAGCUCUGAUUUCAGCUGAUGCGGAUAACAGUUCACCAUAGCAUAUAUGAAACUAAAUCAGAAUUAUCAAUCAACCUGUAUCAAGCGUUCCCGAAGUGCAGGAUUUGGAUCCGUUAGGAGCCGUUUUGCUACAUAUGGAUAAGCAACCUAGAUAAAAAGUUAGCUUUUAGUGUGGAAAGGGAAAUAUGGGUGAACAUAUAGCUAGUGUCUGCUCACUUCAGGAUUUACAUGUCAGCUAAAUCCUAAAUUUGAAAAGAAAAAAAUCAAAAUAUUAAACGUGACUUCACCUCUAGAAAUUUAAAAUCAGGCUUCAGCGUGAAACAUAUACCCUCCUGAGUAAGCAGAGAACGAAUAACAAGAGAGAACCGCUCCGGGAUACGGAUGGGAAAGUCGUACACAAGCUUGUUAAAUUGGCCUGCAAUGAAAAACGUGACACCAUUUCUUCAUAUGUGCAAGGGGUGCUCAGUAAACAAAAGAAACUUGCUUAAGGAAAGCAAUCUAUCAAGUACCUGUAACACUACGGAAAUUGAAAUCUGCAAGUCCUUUCCCUGCAGAGUUCUGCCAUAUGGCUUCUAAAGCUGGAACGAUAGGAGAAACAUCAGUAUCCUUGGCCAAGAACCCAAGCCUAGUGAAAUCAUUUGCCAUCUCCCCAUAGUCCUCAUUAACCGCAUGGACAACAGCAUCAAUCAAAAUUUGCUUGUUUUGCUGAGAAAAAAAAAAAGAUUUACUUUGGACUAUGAAUAACAAGUCUCUAUAUACAGAUGUGAUAAUCACUAUAGGAAGGGACAUAACCUAGCUACUAAAGGUUACUAGAUACCGUGGAACCAUUAAACUCAAGUUACCUGACUCAGUACAGCAACAUUACCGAAGUCCACAUAAGCAAUACGCCCAUCUUGCAUUGCAAAGAUAUUUCCAGGAUGUGGAUCUCCAUGGAACAAUCCAAAUUCUAACAGCUGCCUUAAAGCAGCACUUACGCCAACAGUCAAGAAUCCAUUUAAAUCAAUCCCCGCAUCCUUGAUGGCCUGAGUACAUUUAGUAAGAGUCAGUAUCAGAGUGGACUUUAAUUUUGACUUUUUAGGAGGGUAUAGAGGAAAUUUAUGUUGGCCCCCUUUUUGAAAGUCAACCUGUGGGUCAGUGCACCGAAUACCAUCAAUCCACUCCAUUACCAGAACCCGAGGACCACAAAGAUUCUUGUAUACUCCAGGAAUUUUGACUGUGGGGUCAUCUUUGAAGUUCUCCAGAAAGUCUUCAAUGUUUCUGGCUUCCUGUAGGCAAGAACUUAAGGUUAACCAGGAUUAUAUAAAGACUCAUCAUUUCAGAUCAUCAACACAGAAGAACGCAUAGAGUGAAAUUGAGAAGUAUAUGAGAUACCAAGGUGUAGUCAAGCUCCUCCAGAAGCUUUUCUCCAAAUUCAUCAACUAUUAGCUCUGCGUUGCAACCCAGUUUCUGUAGACUAAAGCCAUUUAAGAAUGAGGCGAGGGUUCGGAAAAGAAAGAGAUCCCGGUAAAUUAUGGGCUCUAUUUGUGGUCUCUGCACCUGCAUAUGCAUAAAAAAAAAAUGUCAAAUCCAACCUUUAAAACAGUUUCAGUUUGAUAAGCCUGUAUGAACUCUGUAGCCACAGUAUAAGUUUCCAUUUAGAAGAACCUUGAUAGCAACAUCCUCUCCAGUGGCACGUAGAGUAGCUCGAUAAACUUGUCCCAAGCUUGCAGCUGCUAUUGUUUCUGAAGAAAUCUUGCUAAAUAUGGCCUCAAGAGGUUGGCCUAACUCUUCCUCGAUGAUAUUGAAAGCAACCUACAAAGUCCUUCACCACUUAGCUUCACACGACAAUGGCAAAUGAUAAUAAGAAAAAUAUCUUGCUCUACAAAUUCCCCAAAAAGAUAAGACAUUUUACCUCGUUGGGGAAUGGAGGAACAUCAUCUUGGAGAAUGCAGAGCUCGUUCAUGUAGUCUUCACGGAUGAUAUCAGGCCUAUUUGCCAGAACCUGCCCCCCCCAUGUAACAGAUAUUAGAGAAGAUAACUUUGAGAACCCGGUUAAUGCCAUUUUCUAACAAAUAAGAUGGAUCCACAUACUUGUCCAGCUUUGAUAAAUGAAGGCCCCAAGUUGCACAAAAGGUUCCUAAGCUGGCGAGCACGAAAGGGGACAACUUCCUCGUCCCUUCCAACCAAAAAAUCAUACAUUAAGGUAGACCAAUACAACCCAAGAGUCCAAACAAUCUCCACACCCCUUGAAACUAGAGAGACGACUGCUCCUCUUGAUUCCAGCACUUUACUCCUCACCUGAUCACCAGUAAAUUCCAAUUCAAACAAUCAACAACAACAUAGAUUCCACCUAAGACACAAGACUCAAGUAAAUGCCAAGAAGAACCAGCUCAAUAAGUGAAUCAACAAAUUGCAACAGAGCUAAAAGAAAUUGAAAUUGACUGAAACUAACGCAUAAAUCGAGCUAGAAACAGAAACAGGUUAAAGAAGCAAAUCAUACAGUCUCCGGAGAAUACUUUCGGAAUGGAACGCAAACGCCUCGCUCGAUAUCCAGCUGCUCAAGCGCGGAGUUCGAUUUCCCUACUCGAAUACCUCUCUCCACCCCGCUCAUCGCCGUUGUCAUUACCGAAGCAUCCGUCGAAUUUCGACCACCAACAUCCGUCGCCGCCGCAGUAACUGAAAAAUUAGAAGUCCGUACAGCCGAGAACGUCCUGCUCCGCCGCAACUCCACGGCGUUGAGAGAUCGCAAAAGAGCAUCUCUCCGAUCAAGAAGAGCGCGAUUUAUUCUCCGAUGACGCUGAUUUAAGGAGAAAUUAGGGUUUACUAAACUAUUGCAGUGGAUUGACUCCAUGGAUGAUGAGCUACGGAGGAUGAUGAGCUACGGAGAAGCGAACAGUGGAUACGUUUCCGUUGGACGACAAACUAUUAAUUACCGAAAAUGGAAUAAAUCGACUACCAACCACAUAAGAUAAUAAUUAUUUUUUGUUUUUAUCUUUUAUUUCCUGGAAAGUAAAAGAACCUUAUCUUCAAAAAGCCACAAUAGAUGUAAUCUGUAGCAAAUCGACCCCAAAACUUUUUGUUGUUUCUUUCUACAUCCCACUUUUUUUUUUGUUGGUUUGUAUACGAUACGUGAUAGUAUUUGGCGUCAAGCAGAGAAGAAGCUGCGAUCGAGGAAAGUCUUGUGUGGCCAAGAAAGGUGCAACGUUUUGGCAACUAAACAAUACAUGUUCGUAUGGUAAUUGACUACUUACAAUUGAAUGAAUGAUAUUAUACCAACGGAUACUAAUAUUUAACAACAAAAUUACCAUUAUUAAUUUGAUAAUUAAAACUUUUUUUUUUUUUUUUUUUUUUUUUUUAAAUAUUUUAUUAAAACCACCCUAACGGGCUUGGGCCGAAGCCUACACACAAACCAAUCCAGUUACAAAAAGGUAAAUCGGCAUCUCGCCGGAAAAAGAAGAAAAGCUCGCCCCUUGUUGAUAGACGCUCGUAGAGCAACCGGAGCCUUAAAUCUGGCAGAUUCAAGACCCACCGCUUCGUGGCCGCGUCAGAAAAUCGACUACCACCGACGGAAGAAUCUGGUUUCCGUCAGAAGAGUCUCUCCUCCGACGCACCAACCCGCCACAAGCCUCCCAGAAAGCUAGUCACUCCAACGCAGCGCAUCGACGGAGUCGGAUCCCGACCUAGCAACCCGACCCACUGGGAGGUAACCCUUUUCUCCCAAAACCGGUAACACCAAAAAACCUGAAUCUUCACGCAUCGAUCCGGACCGGUGGAGACCAGAAGCGGCGGAUCUAGAGAACGUUGGCUCGCCGUGAACCUCUAAACCCGAACCCCGCAUCAGCCCUCUAAGAUCCAAACAGAUCCACAGCUAACCACCGCGUCGGACAACGAACCCCCCUUAUCCCCUCCAACUUCCGCCGUGGACGCAGCAACUAGAUCGACGGGUGAGCCUGAGGCGCAUUGCAGCAUCUCCCGGCGUCCUCAACCGCGAGACCACCGCUGCAAAACUCCUCAUCCGUCAGAACCAGGGCCACAACCACAUCAGAGAGGAAACACCACACCGCCGUUGACGGAGAUACGCUCCGACUCACUCCUGGACCGCCUUGGAGAAGCCUCGAACCGAAGAUUGAAGAGCAGAACGGAACGAAAGAACCCUAGAUCUGGUUGCCGGAAAUCGUCUUCAAGAGAGAGAGAAAUGCACAGCUAUCGAGGCAACGAUUGGGCCGUAUCUCUUGAUAAUUAAAACUUACUCGAAUCUUUUUUUAGGUUUUAUAACAAUGA